AUUCAGUUCUCGUUGGAGGACCUACUCUGACCAAAUUCAGAGAAAUUAGCCUCACUAAAAGCCUAGUGGCGAAAUGUGUUUCUUUCCACAAUGUCGACUGUUUAAAUUUUGGUGGGGAUGUAGAAUAGUAAGUUAGUAACCCAGUUGAAUAAUUUCCAACACAAUUGUUAUAGCAGUAUUCUGGGUCAUAUGAGAACAAACAUGCAGGGAAGUUCAUCUAGAAAAUUAGUGCAGCCGCACUUUCAAUCAAAUUGCCAUAAUGGACAACAAUUCCUGAGGAAAAUUGUUAUGCAAUCUAUAGGCAGCUAACACAAACUUAUAUGACUUUCAUGUAGAAGAAGUGGCAGUACCUGGAGGGGCUAAGUUUAAACAGUCGUAUAAUUUAGAAAAUAAGAUAACAAGUACCAAAUUUUUAAAACUUCCUUGACAUAUUUUCUUUCAAUCAAUUUACAAUCAUCUUCCACAUGUUUUAUAUUUUAAAUGUUGAAUGACAGUCUCGUUCGACAAAAAAAUAUCAUUUAUACUGUAUAUAAAUAACUACGUUAUCAUUGCCUAAAAGCAGUAGAUUAAUUUUGUUCAAAGUUCAUCUAAUAUUGCAGGCCUUGGUUUUCCUCGAAAUAGACUAAGUUCAAUUGUUCGUUCUUUAUUUAUUAUUUGACACUACAAUAAGGAAAAAAAAGAAAACAAUCCUGAAAGGGCAUGAUUCCUUAUACACACCAAUUACAAGGUCAGUAAAAUGGUAUCCAAGAAAGGCAUGGAGGAAUCGCGAUUGAAAAGCUUAGAAACAUAAGUAAACUCCGUUGCAGCUUAGUUUAUGAUCAAGUUCAAAUCUCGAACAAUGGUCGUGAAUGAAAAAAUAUCAUGAGAUGUGAUAAUCUAAAUGAAGGUAAAUGGAUAUUGGUAUUACGGGCUAUGCCUAGGCUAUUUACACAUUUAAACAAUAAUCAUCGCUAUUUUCUACCAUUGUAUCUUCCGAAACUAAUUUUUGCCAAAAAUCAUCAUAUUUGUGCAUUAAAUCUAUUUUAAAAGUAGAUUUAAUCACCAUCAAUUUUUUCAUGGUAAGAUAAAGUAUGGAUAGCUUAUGUACAUAUUCUAUCUAAAAGGCAUGACUUUUCUCUAAAUGCUAAUCAUGUUUUAUCCUGAUAGCCAAUUUAAUAGCCAAUUUAGCACUUCAGCUCUGUUCUGUUAUCCUUUAUUUAUCCUCUACGCGCGAUUGCUCCACUGAAAUUGAAUCAAUAAUGCCUCAGAGAGUUCAUUAACAGCAAGACUAUAUAAACUGUAAGGUAAAGAAAUUUAUACUAGCACAUUGCAAUUGAUAAACAUAGAAAGAUCCCUCUGAAUUCUCAAAUAAGAGCUAACACUAUCAUAUAUUCAACUGUGGAUGCAGCCAUUGGAGUUCCGUCAAUAAUUGGAGUAGUCAAGACAAGAUCACCAGUGCUCAAAAUAAAUAGCUUACAGAAAAAAUAGAAAAUGACAAGUAAUUGACAUUCUCUUAUCAUAUUUCUCAUUGGAUUCCCCUCAAAAGUGAAAUAAAUUAUUGGCGAAAAGGACACAUACAUUCUUAAAUUUUGAAAAAAUUAUCAUGCAGGCACUCAAAUUUGUAAAAAGUAACACCAAGGUCUUUUCUUUAACCAUAAUAUCUCGUGAAUAUAGUAACUAGAAAAUUGAUUUUAAAAAUUUUUAAUCAUUGCAAAUACAAUAUAAGUAAUAUGAUCUAUGUAGUACACUCAUAACAUUAAAAUAUUUUUAAUACUUAAAAUAAUAUUAAAAAUUUUAAAUUAUGAUAUUUAAUUUUAUAUUUUUAUUUAUAAUAAACAUUUUAAAUAAACCUUUGGGUUAAAAAGAUUUUAAAAUUAACAAAAUGUCUUCCUAUUAAUAAUAUUAAAAUUAUUUUUUAUAAUAUUCAAAAUAAUUUAAACUUUAUUUAAUAUUAUGCUUCUAUUUAUUAUUAAAAUUACUUUAAUACGAUAAAAUAUGUAUAAUAAAUUGUAAAAUAUAAAAAUAUUUUCUUGCUUGUCAACAAAUUUUUUUUCCCCAAAAACCGAAAUAAAAUUAUGUGAAUAUCAAUUCUUUAACAGAACAACCUUAGCUUUCUGAUGUUUAAUACUACUCUUUUCAAUUCCAUGCCCAAAAAUUCUAAAAUUUUUAAUUAGAGUGCGUUUGGAAUUGAGGUGCUGUAUCUUUUAAGUUACAGCUACUGUGGAAAAAAAACUGUGACUAUGAAACAAAAAUUAAUAAUAUGUAGUAAAUAUAAAUUUUAAAUAAUAAAUUUGACAAAAUUAUUAAAGAUAUAGUAUAUUUUCUAUUAUACAAGUGAAAAAUCAUAUUAAUAUAGCUUCUAACCUAUAGCAGCUAGUGUUUACCAAAUACUUUAGUGUUGUAGCUCUGCCCAACUUCAAUCCCAAACGCACCCUUAGUCCUGUUACUGGGCUUGCGACAGUUAUGCCAGUGAAGGCAAUUUGAUAUUAAAAUAAUUUUUUUAAUGAAAAAAUCUUUAAAUUAAAAAAAAAAACAAUUGAUUUAAGCGCCAUCAAUCAUGUCAUGGUAGUAAGGCACGUGUCUUGAAAAUGAACACGUAUCAUUUUUUUUACGAGUAGUGAUAGACGUACCGAGCAUGUGAUAGCCCGAGAACACCGAAACGACAGCGGUAACUGUGUUUAGAAAUUUUAAUGACUUGCACGUGAUUUUCAUGUGAUCAACAGUAAAAUAAAGUUUUUUUUAAAAAAGUAACAAAGAUAUUGUGGCCAUUCCCCCCGUCCUCUUCUCCAAAUCUCAACGAGAUCACAUUCGUACCCAUCUCCAGCCAGUUCACCAUCAAGCCCGAAUGUAACACCAUUUGCUUGGUCCUUGCUCUUGAUAAGUCGAGCAUCUUUUUGCUCUUAAUUAGCUCUUGUCGUUUCAAUUUAUUUUAAUUUUUUUUUGUUAUGGUAUUCAAUUUUCGUCCAAUCUUUUGCUAUUUACUCUUCCGGUUCCAAUUUUAUUUUAUUUUAUUUUUUAGUAUUUAAUUUUAGCAUGUUUGAUCGUUCAUUUACUCCUUAUGAUCACUGCAUUCUUCACAUAUUCACAGUGAGUUUCCAAGUUCCCUUUUGCCAGAUGGCGAUUAAGAGACUACUGGAACUGACAAAAAUAAAACUAUCACACAUUGCAAUACAAAGAAAACAAAUCCGUAGCUUUUUACUACUAUGGAACUCAACCAUCUAAAAUAUACAAUAUUCAUUUUCCAACACUCCAAACACUUAUUCAAAACGAAACCCAUCAUCAAUUUUUUUUUUUUUAAAGUAAUAAGGGCCACCGUUAUAUAUAAUCAAGAAUCAAUAAGUUCCCUGCACUAACUAUUACAAACUUACUGUCAAAAACAUUAAUAUAAUGAAAGGCCAACAGGUCUUUACAGCCAUCCAUUUUCAAUAACAAAUUGAAUCUUGAGGUGAACAAAUUACAAGCCUUUUCUGGAAAAUAAGAGGAAAUCGGCACCAAAACCAACACGCCAAUUACCACUGAUUCAUAAUUAUCUUCGACAGCAGUACACAUUCCUCACAGACAACGCAAGCAGCCACGGAACAUAUGUUUCCAGCGUGGCCACCGGGGUAGCGCUUUUCAACCAAUGUCUCAAACCUAAUGCGUCCUUCUUUCUCAAUUUUCAUCCUUAAUCAUACUGAUGAACCAGGCACCGAUUAGGAAUGAGGAGGAAGAGAAUUCCUCGCUUAAGAUCUUCGAUUAAGUGCUCCAGGUCCUUGUGAGCGGAUUCUCUUCCAAACAUGAAUCGCUACUCGACAACACAACCAACAUCAAAUCCGUACCUGAGGACGACUGUGCUUGUGCCGCUGUUGAUCAUUGCCAAAAAAAGAUCUGCCCAUGCUUGUACCGCCUUUGAUCGUUACCGACGAAGGAGAUCAGCCCGUGCUUGUGCCGCCGUUGAUCGCCAUGGAAGAAGAAGAGGAGAGGUGAGGUGACCUUUUUCUUUUUGGCUAAGGAGAGUCGUUUUAGAGUGAUUUGGGUUUAAGGGAUUGGGGGGCUGCGGAACCAAUUUGGAAGGAGUUGGGGAUUUUGGGGCUGAAUGUUUUCAUUUUUUUAAUUUUGUUUUUACUGCAUAUCACGUGAAAAACACGUGAGACUCAUUAAAAUUUCAAAACACAAUUAAUGUUCUGUAGACUGCUUAAAUAUUGAUGGGGUGUAGAGUUGUAACCAGUUGAUUAAUUUCCAAUACAACUGAUAUAACAGCAUUCUGGGGUCGUACGAGAACAAACAUGUGGGAAAAAUUCAUCUAGACAAUUAGUGGAGCCGCACUUUCAAUCAAAUUGUUAUCAUGAACAGCAAUUCAUGAGUAAAUUGUUAUUCAAACUAUAGGUAGCUUACACAAACUUAAAUGGCUUUCAAGUAGAAGCAAUGGCGGUGCUGGAAAUUCAAUACAAUCAAUCCAGGAGGAGUUAAGUUGAAGUAGUAAUAUAAUUUAAAAAACUUUUGAUAAGAUAAUAAGUACCAAAUUUUUAAAAUUUCAUUGAAAUAUUUUCAUGCAAUCAAUUUAAUUACGGCCAUCUUCCAUAUGUUUUCAUAUUUUAAAUUGUUGAAUCAUAAUUAAACUCAUUAUGAACACCACAAACAACUAGGUUAUCAUUGUCUAAUAGAGUAUAUUAGCAGUUAUCUUACAAUAUACUUUCAAGUUUGACCCAUACAUAAAAUAAAAUAAAUAUUUUUCCCCCGUAAGAGCGUCAAAAACUUAACACAACUUCAAAGUGAUUUAUAACUCUCAAGUAUAAAAGUGUGUUGUUAUGAAAUAAAUUGAUCAAUCCGAGGUCGAUCCAUAGAGAAAAAUUUUAAUUUUUUAUUUCUUUUUAAUUUAUCAAAAAAUUAGAAUUUAAAUUCACACUAUUUAAUUUAAGUGAAACGAUGGAAAUAAAUUAUUUAGGAUUGUGGAUUCACUCUUACCAGUAAACAUAAUUUAGUAACUUCUUUUUCUUUUAUUUUUUUAUUGCUCAAAAGAUUAAUUGUAUAAAUUAUCAUUAUUUUCCAUUAAUUUUAUUAUGGAUUAAGUGUGUCGAAAUUUAAUCUGUCUACAAUAAGUUAAAAUACCAUUUUACCAUACUUUGUACUAAGAUAUUAAGAAUUUAUUGUACCAAAUUCCCUUAUUUGUCUACAAUACAUCACAAUUUCAUAAUAUAAAAUAUAUUGAUACAUUAUUAACAAUAAUUAUUAAUAAUUAUAAUUUUUGAAUAAAUAAUCACAAUAAUUAAUAUAUUAUUUUAAUUAAGUAAUUAAUAUUAAUAUUAUUAGUUAAUAUAUUUUUAUAAUAAUUUUUAUUAUAGUUAUUAUAAUUAAUUAAAAAAAUUUACAAUUAAUUAAUAUAUAAGUUAAUAAUUAUUAUGACAAUAAUCCAUUAAGUACUUUUUAGUAAUUUGUUACAAUCUAAUUCAUUCCGAUUCCGAUUCCAAGACAAAGUAAACACUUUUAGUAAUUUGUUACAAUCUAACUCAUUCCGAUUCUAAUUGUAGGACAAAGUAAUUGCAAUCCAGCUCAUUUCGAUUUCGAUUCUUACAGUUCAAGUAAACAACUUAUUCUGAUUCUCAUUACUUAUUUACAUUCCAGCGCAUUCGCAUUUCUAUCCAUUCUGAUUCCAGCUCAUUUCGAUUUCAGUUUAGUAAACGCAACAUACUCUACGAAAAAUCAUUCCUAAUUUAAUAAUUUUUUUCCCUCUUACUUAUUUCCGAAGUUAUUUUCUUCGUCUUCCUAACUUUUCUCUAAUUCUGAAUCCCUUAAUGAUGAGGGGAAAAAGAUUACGAAAGUCAAACUGAUUAAAGCUAAACAUAUAAAUAUUAGAAUCCAAACUUUCCGUGCCCAAAUUCCGUUGAAUAUGAAAUACAUAAAAUUAGCAAAUUGACUACAUCAAAAAAUUAAAAAAAUAAAAAUUCAUCAUGUAAAAAUCUUAUUUAACUCCUAGUUUCAUUACAAAAUCGUUCACAAGUUAAUUGAUAUCCGUAUUGGGUGAUAAAAGCUCAAGCAUUUUUAAUAAGGAAAGCUCAAAAGAAUUUCAUAAGAAAUCACGUACCAAUGAAAAUCAAUGCAGGGAAACAAUUGAGCUAUUUUCCUAGAGCGUAUAACGCUGAUGACAAUGAGGAGAAUCACUUAAUUAACGUUUUGAAAUAGCAACUUGGUUUAGAUCUACAAAGCCACUUGCUAUAUGAAAGCGUAUAUAAUCAUAAUUAAUUAGCGAAAAGCACAUUGUAAUUAUCUGAAUUAAGAAAUCAACGCUUCAACUAAUCUACAAGGGCAUUGGCCAGGGGCAACUGAAGAUGGUUGAAUGAUUAAUUACUUUAAACAAAAAAUAAGUCCAAAUCUAUGAAUAGAAUUUUCCUUUCUUUAUACAUAUUCAAUUAUAACAAACGAUUAUUAAAUUACUCCCAACGAAAGGAUUAGGUUUGUCAUUAUUGCAAUUAAACAAGAUUCUCAUUUUCUCUCGUCGCGUGCAUUGCAAGUUGCAACAAAAAUGCUCUGCCGAUUUGACGCCGGUGUAAUUGUAAGCUAAACUUCUCUUGUUAAGUAAAACAAAUACAUGUUAGCAAAGGAACAAAAGUUCGUCAAUUUGGACAUUGACAACCAAACAACCAAAUUUUUUUUAGUAAAAUCUCUAUUUAUAGAAGCUUUAUUGACGAAUACUCUAUUUAAAUAAGCUCUACUUGAAAAGUUAUACAAAACAUAUAACACCCCAAAUCUCCGAAGAAGGAGGUUACUUACAAAUCGUAAUCCUUACUUAUAAAUUCCAAACUCAAAUACCUCAAAUUCUUAUUCAAAUAAAUCCACAAAUUCAUACGUCUAACACUAAAUAAUCUCUUCCAAAACAUAACAAUAACAAAAGUCUCAAACUCCAAAUUACAAGUUCAUAACAGAAAUAAACUAAAAAGAAACAUGAGUCUAUUCCUCUUCUUAUUCAAAUAGCAAACGGAAACGAAAUCUCUAACUCCAAAGCUACGCAUACCUCUUAAAAGGAACUUAAUCUGCAAAAAGUAAUAACGAGGGGUGGGCCGUCAACUCGGUAAGUAAAAUCAUUCCUAAUACACUAGGCCUAUCGAUAUCAAAAAUAUUGCAAGCCUUCUUUUAUUCAAAAACAUAUAUUAUAACUCAUAAACUUCAUAAAACAACAUAUUUCAAUUAUAUAACAUAAAUUCAUGGUAAUUCAGAGUAUCAAAAGAAUAAUCCAUUAUGAAAGCAAAUCGUAUAAAGUGUACACAGAAGGUAGAUAGUUAGCUCAUGUCACAUAGUGUCACCUAUAGUCUCGGUGACCCGACCAGAAACAGAAUCAGAAUAUCGUGUGCAAACUUAGAACAGAAACCUAGUACUAGUCCAGAACAAAUAUAUCGUAUAAUACGAUCAGAAUUAGAAUCAGAAUAACUACGGACAAUGAGCCAAAACAUAAUGACUUAUACGUGGCACUUUGCACUAUAUGUGGCACUUUGUGGCGCUUUGGCCCUCAAGAGGUGGCCCCCAUAUAGUCUCAAGAGGUGGCCCCCGUACAAUCAUAAAUAAUUAAAAUCAUACAUAGGCACAAAACAUUCAUAUUAGAUUCAUGAAAGUCUAUAGCAACAAUUUAGGCUUGCAAAAAUAUUUCAUAGACAAAAUUAUAAAAGGCAGUCAUGUCAUAAAAUAAUUUACAUAUUAAAAAGCAUUUAUAAAAUAUUUUAUCAAAAGAAUUCAGAUUUGAAAACAUUUUCAUAAACUGAUUUUGGUAUGAAAAUCUAUUAAUCUUCUAAGAAGUAUAAAAACUCUUAUAAUAACAUCAAAAUACUUAUACAUAUCCAGUAUAUUAGGAAUGAAAUUACUUAUCUCGACAAAACAAUUUGAAUUAACACACCUCUAAACCUCUAAGAGCCUCAAUCACCUCAACACCAAUCGCUUUGAUUCUCUCAUAAGCAAAGGUUUGAAUCCUAGGGUUUGGGUAGGAGCGUAAAGAGUAGCAGAGAAGAAGAAGAAUUGUCGUGGACUUCGAGUUAUGGAAGGGAAAAAAAUAUUAAUUUAUAGGGAGUCUUAAGAAACCCUAUUGAAUUUGGAAAAAUAACCAUUUCCUAAAAAUUAUCCCAUGAAGAACCCUUUUUAUAAGGGCAGUAACACCAUUUAUAAAUUUCAUUAAAAAAUAAAUCAAAUAAUAGAAAUUUGGGCGUUACAAAACAGAACCACAGUAUAAUUACAAAUUUCCUAACUUAGCUACAUUAUUAUGAACCGUAGCGAUUAAAGCAAAUACUAUUGACUUGAGCAAGCACUUUUUGUGUUUCUUUAUAAGUGUGUACAUGUACCAAACAAACUAUUACUAAAACCAAAAAAUCUCUCUUUAAAUUAAUAAAUAUUUAUUUAUCAAUAAAUUAAUAAAUUAUUCAUUCAAUAAUAAAUAUAUAACUUAUCUAAAAUAAUAUUUUUUCUUAGGCCUAAUAAUAUUAUUUCAUAGACAUUUUUCUUACAUUUUCUGUGCAAUAAUUAAAAAAAUUAUAUUUUUUAAAAUAUAGUUACAAUCUAGAUACAUAUACAUUUAUUAUUAAAAUUACUUUAAUAUGAUAAAAUAUGUAAUAACAGAUUGUAAAAUACAUAAAAAAAAUUUCAUGCUUGUCAACAAAUAUGUUUUUUUCCUUGAAAACCAAAUUAUUUUUUAUGUCAAUAACAAUUGUCUAACAGAAUAAUCUUUGCUUUCUGGUGUUUAAAACCACUCUUUCCAUUUCAAAUGUAAUUCAGCAUUGAAGGCAAUUUGAUCUUAAAAUAUUUUUCUAAUUUAUGAUUCUUUAUAAUAAUUAUUAUGUAAUUUAUCAUUAUUGUAAACAUUAUGUAUGAGUUUAUUUACCGAGUUGAUAGAUCACUCUUUAUUUCCAACAUUUUGUAGAUAGAUUUUAAAAAUAUAAGUUUUUUUAGUUUAGACAAAAAGAUUUGUUAGUUGAAAACUUGGAUAUUUUCUUUGAUGAAUAAAUUAUUGCUACUUCCGUUAUUGUUUACAAAUGAAUUUGUUUUGGAAGAAAAUCAGAGGGAAAAACAUCGUAACUGCAGCCAAGCUUUCCAUUUCAAAUGUAAUUGAGCAUCGAUUCAAUAGUCAAUAUUUUUCAUUUCAGCUGUCUUUUGGGGACAAACUUAAGCAAAAUCUUCCUUUUAAGUUUUUGGAUUGAGCAAGCCUUUUGUAGCUUUAAUUACAGUUUUGAUUAGAACUACAUUUUAGUUUUGUUCCUGCAUGUAUGGUUUGGCUGAAUUUGCAGUACAUAUAGAUGAAAUUUGCCUCGAGUGAGUUGUGCAUCAAUGUGAUUGUGAUCAAGUGACACUCUUUCUUUAAUAGCCAAUUCAGCACUUGAGCUACGUUCUCUUAUCCUUUAUUCAUUUUCCACCCACAAUUACUUCACUGAGAUUGGAUCAAUAAUGCCUCCGCGAAUUCAUUAACAGCAAGACUAUAUAAACUGUAAGGUAAAGAAAUUUAUACUAGCACGUCGCAACAGAGAAACAAAGAAAGAUCACUCUAUAUUCUCAAAGAAGAGCUAACACUAUCUUACAUUCAACUGUUGAUGCAACCAUUGGAGUUACAUCAAUAAUUGGAGUAGUCCAGAUAAGAUCGCUAAUGUUAAAAAUAAGUGGCUCAUAGAAAGACAAUGACCAGUAAUGAACAUAACUUAUUGGGUCCACUUCAAAAAGCAAUUGUUCAAUUUCCAUCAACUUUGUUUGAUAGGGUAGAUGUGGGAUGGAGAUUUGUGAAAAUAGCGGGGGCUGCAGAUACUAGAUGGAUUAAAGGAUCGAAAAUGAAUAAAGUGGAAAAAUCAAGAUAAGAUGGUUUGGUGGAUGCAUUUUUUGAAUUACAAACAAAAAAUACAAAAUUGAAUACUUCUUGGUUUCCACUUUUUUCAUAAAGGUAAAGAAUGUAAAAUUAACCUUCUCUCAUGAUAUUUCUCAUCGAAUUCCUCAAAAAUAAAAUAAAUUGUUGGAAAAAUAAUACCUACAUCCUUAAAAUUUUAAAAAAUUAUCAUUUAAACCUUAAAAUUUUCAAAAAAUAACACCAAAAUCUUUUAUUUAACUAUGAUACCUCUUGAAUAUACUGACUAAAAAAUUGACUUUAAAAAGUUUUAAUCAAUAUGAAUAUAAUAUAAAUAAUAAAAUCAAUGUAGUAGGCUAAUAAUAUUAAAGUAUUUUUAAUAUUUAAAAUAAUACUAAAAAUUUCAAAUUAUGAUAUUUAUUUUAAUCUUAUAUUUGUGUUUAUUAUAAAGCUUUUAAAUAAACUUUUGGGUUAAAAAGGUUUUAAAAUUAACAAAAUGUCUUCCUAUUAAUAAUAUUAAAAUUAUUUUUUAUAAUAUUUAAAAUAAUUUAAACUUUAAUUUAUUUAUUGUAAUAUUAUGUUUCUAUUUAUUAUUAAAAUUACUGUAAUAUGAUAAAAUAUGUAAAAUAAAUUGUAAAAUUUAAAAAUAUUUUCUUGCUUGUCAACAAAUGUUUUUUUUUCCCCGGAAACCAAAAUAAAAUUAUGUCAAUAUCAAUUCAUUAACAGAACAACCUUAGCUUUCUGAUGUUUAAUACUACUCUUGUUAACAUGAAUAUGUUAAUAAUAUUGAUUUUGAUGAUAACAAACUUUAAAUGGUUUUUGAUUAAAAUGUUGGAGCUAUUCCUUAAUAAAUGAAAGCCUUAUAAUCAUUCCAAUCAUAUUCAUAAAAGAUGGACUUUCAAAUUAGAAAAUGACUCUCUGCAAAAUCUGGUUUAAAAUGUGAUUAUGAAAAUAAACGGUGAUCGUUUUCUUUCAAACGGUUAACCAAUUAAAACCAGAGAGCAACAUAUUGCCUAAGCUCUAACCGAUUAUGAAAAACGGAAAACACAAAAAGCUGGGAAGGCUACUGGAAUUUAACGGUGAACCGUUUAUUUAAACGGUUAACCGAUAAAAUCCAGAAUUGAAGGUUGUACUCUUCUGGCACCGUUUAAUAAAACCGGAUAAGGCUAAAUUAUUUUGCAGGUUACUGGAAACAAACGGCGAACCGUUUAUUACAAACGGUUAAUCGAUAAUAUCCAGAGAAGUCACUUCAUGCAAAUCCUUAACCGUUUAAUGUAAACGGAUAACUGAUGUUCAUCUUGCAGGUCUUUGGAAUUUAACAGCGAAAGGAUAAUCCUAAACGGCAAACCGUUUAUUUGAAAUUUGGCCCAACGGUAACUUUUGACCAGCCUAAACGGUUAACCGUUAAUGGUUAACGGCGAACCAUUUUCGGGCCGACAGUUUGUAACGGCUAGUUUUUCAGCUCCAAAUAUAAAUAAGCUCAUUCAAAUUCAAACAAGAUUGAUCACAACAUGACUAUUGAGCUUAUACUCGAGAAUACAAUCUUCAUAGAGCUUUGAACACAUAUCUUCCCUUAUCUUUUUUUAUUGUGAUCACCUUAUUUGUUAUUGCUUUGAAUUUGGUUUAUAUUUGCAUUAAGUUUUUCUUCAUAAAUUGAAUAAUUUAUAGAAUUCCCAUUCACCCCCUCUUGGGUUGCAUAACUAGAAUUUCAACUCUUUCCUUGCCCAAAAAUUCAAAAAAAUUUAAUUAAUCCUGUUUCUGGGCCUGCGGCAGUUAUGCCAUUGAAGGGUAUUUGAUAUUAAAAUAAUUUUUUUAAUGAAAAAUUCUUUAAAUUAAAAUAGAAACAAUUGAUUUGAGCACCAUCAAUCAUGUCAUGGUAGUAAUUAAAUAAGAUAAAGAUUGGAUACCUCUUCUUUUCAAAAGGCAAGCGUCUUGGACUUUUCGCUAAAUGAACGCGUAUCAAUUUUUUGAGUUAAAAAUGAGCAAUAAUGUCGUAUUUGUGUAAUUUAGCCACAUCGCCAGUUCCUUGGCAUCUUCCCUUCAAAUUCUCCCAUGGCGUUUAAUUUUACACCAGUAACCACUUUGAGAUAGAACCAAUCCUUUUAAUAUUUCUUGGAGCAAAAAACAAUACCUCUGGGUGCUACAGAGAGAAGGAGAUAUGCUGGACGUCCACCUCCGACUGUUUUGUGAGAGGUUGGAGAGGGUGUUAGCAGGUGAAGAAGGCACGUUGCCGCUGCCAGAUUCAACAAAUUUAACUCCACUUUUUCAAAACCUUCUUACGGAGUCCGAAAUUAUUGCUACUACUCUUCUGGGAAACUAUGAAGCUGACAUGGCUCGGCUUUCUCCAGCAUUUAAACGGAGGAUGACCCUUCUUUCUACAAUGUUUGCAAGGUGGAUAGGAUUUCUUCUGAUUUUCAUUCUUUUCUUUUACAUUCGCAGAUGUUGUACUUGCCCCAUUUCCUUCAAAGUCCUUCUUCUUUGUUUUGUUUUUGGCCAUGUUCUGAUGUUUGGCUGCUAAAGCUCCUUCGGUUGUUGUAUCCCCCCUCAUCAGUCUUCUUUGUUCUGGUGCUUGUAAUGCGUUAAGCAAUUCUGCCAAGGAAAUCUUUGACAAAUCCUUGGUAUUUUCAAAGGUAGUGAUAGUUGCUUCAUAUCUUUCAGGUACUGUAACAAGAAUUUUUUGUACAAUUCUUGAGUCAGUAAAUUCAGAUCCAAGAAGCCUCACCUUGUUUGCAAUACUAAGAAGUCUGUCGGAGUAAUCUUUGAUCGUCUCGGAGUCCUUCAUUCUUUGAAGUUCAAACUCCCUGAUCAAAUUCAGGACUUGCAUACCUUUAAUUCUUUCAUCUCCUUCAUAUUCGCUCUUGAGAUAAUCCCAUAUCGCUUUUGCUGACUUCAAAGAGCUGGGCUUUCAGUGGUUGCAAUUCCCGACAGCCAUGGCUUUAAUAAGACUGCUUUUGCUGCACAUACUUAUAACAGUUAUCAUGUCAAGUUCUAUUUUGACUCUUACUUGGGUCAGGGUUUCUCUAGGCUAUGAUUACGGCAAGAUAUUGGAUGGCAUAAUCAAGUCUGUGAUGCCUCCAGCUCGGAUUAGUGUAAUUAUCGGUGAAGAUUAUCAAUUGAAGAAAUCUAUUCUUCGAGAUUACCUAACAAACAAGAAGUACUUUAUUGUGCUUGAUGUCGUCUUCAAUGACCGUGAGAUAUGGGAUGAUCUCGAAGAAGUUCUCCCUGAUAAUGAGAAUGGAAGCAGAGUAUUAAUAUUGGCCGCUGAUCCAGACCUCCUUGAGUCGUUGGAAAUGGAAAAUGGAGAGAAGAUUCGGCAUGGUUCAGUGCUCGUUGGAGGACCAUUGAUUAGACUAAAGCAUGAGGCCUGGCAAUUUUUCAUCCUGCACUAUGGAAGUAUGCCAUUAGAAAAUUAUCUUCAAAGCGAAGCGAUUCCGACAGUAUGGAGACAAAUUUUCUCUGUGAUGGAGUUACCUUUUCACUUGAAAGUCUGCUGCAUCUAUUUGUGUGUCUUCCGUCCAAGUAUUGAGAUAUCUACGAGGCAAUUAUAUCAGUUGUGGGUAGCUGAAGGUUUCAUGCCAUACAACGGUGAAGAAACUGCCGAACAUUACUUGAAAGAACUAAUCCAUUGCGGCUUCAUUCAAGUGAGUAAGCGAGGAGCCGGAGGCACAAUUAAAGCGUGUUAUGUUCCAAGUUUUGUAUAUACUUCAUUGGGUUUGGUGGCAGAGAAGACGAGAUUUGUCUGAAUGCCUGCAUGGGUAGGGGAAUCAAUUGAAAAUGCUAAACGGUGCUUCAUUUUGAAAGAUCUGAUUGACUUCUUUCCUUUAGAAUAUUCUAACAUGUAUCUCCAAUCUUUUCUGAAUCACAGUUCAGAAAGCGAUCGUCUCGCUCUGAUAGAUUGCGAGAAUUUUUGUAAAAAUUUCAAACACCUUCGGGUAUUGAAUUUGGGUUUUGCAGUUCUCGACCAAUUUCCACCCGGAUUAGAAAAUUUAUUCCUUUUGAAGUAUUUGAAAUUGAAUAUCCCUUCGCUCAAAUGCCUUCCUUCGCAACUAUGCACCUUUUUAAGCCUUCAAACACUAGAAAUGCCAUCUAGCUACAUAGAUCAGUCACCAGAGGAUAUUUGGAUGAUGCAAAAACUCAUGCAUCUAGACUUCUGAAAGAAAACGUAAACUCUACUGAUCUGUACUGUUUGGUUACUAAGAAAAUCUGCUCUGUUUUACUGAGAAAACUUCAGAGCAUAUACUGGUUUUUUUUAUUUCUUCUUUUAUGAAUUCUCAAAUGAGUACAAAGCACACCUUUUAUACAUUUGUUAACAGAAAGGAAAACUAAUCAGAAUAAAAUCUCAGCAAGCCUUAACUAACUUUGCUGAGCUGGCAUUGCUUACUUAACUAACUUCAGCUCAGCAAAUUCUCCCACGUGCUACGGUUCCAUCACUCUGCCUGCACAUCCAAAAAAUUAUUCCAGCUCUUUGAAGAAUCUCAUUUUCGUAUCAGCCUUACACCCUAUUAGUUGCACCCCAGCUAUAUUGGGUAGACUACCAAAUGUCCAAAGUCUAAGAAUAUCUGGAGAUUUGAGUUACUAUCAAUCUGGGCUUUCCAAAAGUCUAUGCGAACUGCACAAAAUUGAAUGCUUGAAGCUGGUGAAUGAGAGCAAGCGCUCACGGAUUAUCCUAUCUGAAUACCAAUUUCCUCCAAGUCUGAGCCAUCUGAGCUUAUCGAAUACUGGGCUAAUGGAGGAUCCCAUGCCAAUGCUGGAAAAGCUUCCACGCCUUCAAGUGCUGAAACUGAAGCAGAACUCGUAUUUAGGAAGAAAGCUGGCCUGCGUUGGCUCUGGUUGCUUUCCGGAACUUAAGGUUUUGCACCUGAAAUCAAUGUAUUGGCUAGAUGAGUGGACGAUGGGGGGAGGAGCAAUGCCAAAACUUGAAAGCUUAAUUGUCAACCCAUGUGCUUACCUGAGAAAGCUUCCAGAAGAGCUGUGGUGCAUAAAGAGCUUGCGCAAAUUGGAUUUACAUUGGCCUCAGACAGAGUUGAGACAAAGACUACGGACUUUCGAGGAUAUGGAGUGGCGGUAUGACAUCCAGUUAUAUCCUUACGGAAUCUGAUGGAUUGAAUUGGGUGAGUUUUAAUCUUAUCUGAUAUCUCAUACUUUAGUUGCCCUUUUUUUUCCACUUUCUCAGUAGAUCUAUGUUUAUUGUAAAACCUUCAAAGGGUCAUACAAAUGAAAAAUUCAUUUAUGAUUCUUAUUUCCCUUCACUUGUGUAGGCAAAAUCGGAGAGGGAAACAACAGGGCGUCGUUUCAUUUAGCAGAUUUCAAGGAUUUGCUAUAACUGAUGCGAUGGUUGCAAUAUUGUCUACAAACUUGAAUUGUUGUACUCCUUUUUCUAUUUUUCGAAUUUGCUGGCAUGUAUGUAUGUAUGUAUGUGUGUAUAUUGUGUUUUAGUUACUGUUUUAUGCUUAGAAGUACUCCAUUUAAGCCGCGGACCUGCAGGUAUGGUUUCGCUAGCUUUGGACUUGUAUGACUUGUAUGGCUAGUUUUGGACUUAUCAUUGUCUAAUAGAGCAUAUUUGCAGUUAUCUAAAAAAAAAAUUGUUAUUUUUUUAAAUAUAAUUGCAAUCUACAUACAUAUACAUCUAUAAUGCUGGUCUAAUUGUUCUUGUUUCUAAUGUCAAAAUUAUAGCCACGGACAUUGCUGCAGAGAAACAAAGAAACCUCUGUAUUGUAAUAAGUAAGAACAGUGUAAUAGCAGAUUUUCAUUUGUGAUUCUUAUUUUCUUGUACAUGUUUAGGUAAAAUCAGAGAGGGAAACAUCACCUGCCAGACCUUCAAUAGUUCAAUUUCAACUGUGAUUCAGCAUCCAUCAAUUCUUUCUUUGUUUCUGCUGUCAAUUCAUAAGUUCUCAUAAGGCUGGGCAUCUUUUUGUUCAGUAGAUUUCGACGACGCCAUGGCUACAGUAUUGUCCACAAACUUGAAUCAUUUUUUUUUUUUAAUUUAGUGGGUAUGUAUAUUGUAUUAUUUAUUUGUUGUGUGCUCAGAAGUACUGCAAGUUAAGCCCUGGAAAAUGUGAGAAGAAAAAGAAAUUAAACUAGAUUACACGAUAUUAGCAUAUUGUUCUUUGCUUGAACCAAGUUCUUCUUUGCUUUAGCUUUUGUUAAGAUGCUGUCUUAACCUUCCUCCUUUUUCUUAUUGCUAGUUUGAUAUCUCUUAUCUUUUCUUGAACCAAGAUAUUUCCCUUAACUUACAAGUAAAGUUCAAAUGCUCUUUCUCUUUUCUCUUAACUUCGGUUUACUUAUGCAAUCAUUUUCAAUUCUACCAAAACCAUCCAUUUAUCAAUACCCAAAUUGUUCUACAUUCUAAUUUUGUUGUGCCUUCCAACUUAUAUUUGAUUGUGUUGCUUAUAUCGUCCGAAUAUCGAAGUCCUUGAUUACUCAAUAUAACAACAGCAGGUACUUCAAUUAUUAUUCAAAAGUUAUAUUUCUUUUUUCAUUUUCAUGUGUCAAAAUCAUCACCACGCAUGCAAUUUAUUUUGUAAAAAUCAUCACUCACAUACUCCUCGUUUCUAAAUUACUUUUUUUAAAAGACCAAAGUUGAAUUAUGUCAUUAUAAACUCUUGAACAGAACAAUCAUCAUCCUUCAUAUUAAUGUUCUUUGUCAGACAGAACUAACAAUCCUUUAUCAUUUGUUGAUGGAGAUUUUCUGCAUUGAUCAACUUAAUAGUUAUGAAAACCAUCCCCUAACCCCAAAGCAACAAAAGAAUCUACAACCAAUCAGCAUAAAAUUAUGUACAACUAUACAUUUCUUAUUAAUUUAUGCAUGUAGUGAUGUUUUGAAUCAUAUCAGAGAAUCGUUUAUAUUUAUUAAGACUCAAUGUACAUGCACUUUGUAGUAUCGCCCAGAGAUCUGCCAAGCAUUAGCUUAGAAAUCUACUCUGUCCAAAUUCAAAGAAAUUAGCCUGGGUCAUAUUUAAAUAAAUAAAUAUAAGGCUGUUCUCAUCACAUUUGAACUUAUUUACAAGCAUAGCUCUUGAUAUUUAAAUAUAUAUAUAUAGCUGUUAAAUAGAUAAUAAGCAUAGAUCUUCACCUUUAGAUGGUUGCAAUAUUGUCUACAAAGUUGAAUAGUUGCACUCCUUUUCUAUUUUUUAUUUGCUGGUACGGCUUCAAUUGGCCUAUCUCCUCUCAUAAUAUUUCUUUCAUUCAUAACUAUUGGAUAAAGAUUAGAAUUUGAUCAAUGAAAAAAAGAUAAACAAUUACCAAUUCUAAUUGAAAUGCCAUUGUAUUUUCUUAAAUUUCAAUUUCUGGUUUGAGUUUGAUUUAUGUGAUGGGAAGUAGAUGGCUGUGGUUCAUUUUGUGGUUGUGAUUCAGUUUGUUGUUGUGUUGGUGACAAUGGUAUGGUUGAUGAGGAAUGUUCUGAUAUUGUAGUUUGAGAAUGCUCUUGUUGAUGCAGAUUAUUUGUGUGUGUAGAAACAGAAGGUACCUGUUCACUGCUCUCUGUACUUGCUGAUUGAAGAUCUUCCAAGCUGCUGUCAGUUAAGGAUAAUGUGGAGAGAUUAUAAAUUUGUUGCUGGGAAAAGUUUGACACUGAUAAUUCAGAAUUUGAACUGUUCUCAGAUGAAUGAAAUACUUUGUUAGUUGAGUAAGGGAAUGUAUUUUCAUCAAAGAUAACAUGCCUUAGGAUAUGAAUUUUUCCUGAACUUGUUAAACACUUGUAACCCUUGUAAGAAGGAUUAUAGCCAAUGAAGAUGCAUUUGGUGGUGUGAAAAUCAAAUUUGUGUUUAUUAAAAUCUCUCAUAUAUGGAUAACAUAGGCAACCAAAACACUUAAGAAAAGAAUAAUCUGGUUUGUGUUUAUAAAGCUUUUCAUAAGGAGAUAAAAGCUUAAGAACAGGUGUUGGUAACCUAUUAAUAUGAUAUGCUGCUGUGUGAACAGCUUCCCACCAAAACUGAAAAGGGAGACUAGCUUGAGCUAAGAGUGUCAAUGCUAAUUCAAUUAUGUGUCUGUGUUUCCUCUCAACAAGACCAUUCUGGUGAUGAGUAUAAGGGCAUGAAUGUCUAAACUUGAUCCCAUUUUGAUUGAGAAAAUCACUGAAUACUCUAAACUCUCCCCCCAGAUCAGAUUGCAAUUCCUUAAUCUUGGUAUUAAACUGAUUUUCAACUUGUGCCUUGAACAAUUUGAAGACUUCAAAUGCUUGUGAUUUAAGCUUAAGUGGAUAGAUCCAGGUGUAUUUAGUGUAAUCAUCCACAAAACUAAUGUAAUACUUGUAUCCAUUUCUGGAUACAGUGGGUGAAGAUCCCCACAAAUCAGUAUGAAUAAGUUCUAAUACCCCUUUUGUUUUUGUUUCAGUUGCUGGAAAACUUUGCCUGUGAACUUUGCCUAACUGACAUGCCUCACACAAAGAAUUUGUACAAUCCACAAUAUCUUUAUGAGAGAAUUUAAAUUGCUUGCAAGACUUAACUAAAUGCAUCAGAAUCAUUGAACUUGGAUGACCAAAUUUUCUAUGUAACAAAGUCAUUACAUCAGAUUUGGUUUUGCAUUUAUUAGAAACAUAAUGAUAACAAGCUUUAGAAGGACUAUCAAAGCUUUGAAAGCUAGACAACAUUGAGAUAGGUUUAUUUAGAUCCAUUUUUGGGAUCCAUUUUCUGUAAUUCUCUUUCCAUCUUGUAUUUUCUUCGUAUUUUAAUAAAUUUCCAUUUUGCCCCUAGUUCAAUUAUGAGUGGCUAAUUUUCUUUCAAGUUUGGGUUGAAGUUGAAGUCUCAACAUGUGUCAUGGGCUUUAUUUGGUAAAUUUAUUUUCUCUUCCCUUCUAGUUUUUGUGGAUGUUUUGACUUCUCGUCGACAAAUAAUAAUAGUCUUGUCUAGAUACCGCUUUGGUUAUACCGGCUCUCUAGUAUAAGGUUAUUAUUAUUUGGCACGAUAAGCCCUUAGCACCAUAUUGAUUUGAGCGUGGUUCAUGAGGUGUGGAUUCCCCCCUCAUGAUUUAAUUGGCAUUAAUAAGGAUUAUUUAGCCCAUGAUGCAUGUUGAUACGGAUCCAGAUACCCAAGUACGUCAUUUCAAUAGAAUUCUCUUCAAUUUAUUCUCGCCAUUUCAAUUCCAAUUUCAGAAUUUAUUCUUGCCAUUUUAAUUUAAGUUUUAGCAUAUUCCAAAUCAUUUCCACCACAGAUCCAAUCAACCAUUUGCAAAAUUAAUUCUAUACACAAUUAAAAUCCACCUCCUCGUGGGAUCGACACUCGUCACUAUUGAUCUAUACUACAAUAGAUUCGUGCGCUUGCGAGUACAUUAAAAUUUGCACAACACUUCCCACCAAAACUGAAAAGGGAGAUUAGCUUGAGCUAAUAGUGUCAAUGCUAAUUCAAUUAUGUGUCUAUGUUUCCUCUCAACAAGACCAUUCUGGUGAUGAGUAUAAGGGCAUGAAUGUCUAAACUUGAUCCCAUUUUGAUUGAGAAAAUCACUGAAUACUCUAAACUCUCCCCCCAGAUCAGAUUGCAAUUCCUUAAUCUUGGUAUUAAACUGAUUUUCAACUUGUGCCUUGAACAAUUUGAAGACUUCAAAUGCUUGUGAUUUAAGCUUAAGUGGAUAGAUCCAGGUGUAUCUAGUGCAGUCAUCCACAAAACUAAUGUAAUACUUGUAUCCAUUUCUGGAUACAGUGGGUGAGGGUCCCCACAAAUCAGUAUGAAUCAGUUCUAAUACUCCUUUUGUUUUUGUUUCAGAAGCUGGAAAACUUUGCCUGUGAACUUUGCCUAACUGACAUGCUUCACACAAAGAAUUUGUACAAUCCACAAUAUCUUUAUGAGAGAAUUUAAAUUGCUUGCAAGACUUANNNNNNNNNNNNNNNNNNNNNNNNNNNNNNNNNNNNNNNNNNNNNNNNNNNNNNNNNNNNNNNNNNNNNNNNNNNNNNNNNNNNNNNNNNNNNNNNNNUCAUUACAUCAGAUUUGGUUUUGCAUUUAUUGGAAACAGAAUGAUAACAAGCUUUAGAAGAACUAUCAAAGCUUUGAAAGCUAGACAACAUUGAGAUAGGUUUAUUUAGCUUGGUAUGAAGAUGGGAUGAAGAAAAUGAAGAAUAGGGAUUAGAACUCAACAGCAGCUUGUAUAGACCUUUUUCAGCAAGUCCCUGCAGCAGAACUUGUCCCUUCAUGUCCUUCACAAAACAAACAUUCCCACAAAAUUCAACAGUUAUAGGGUUAUCAGAUGUCAGUUUAGAAAUGCUUAGUAGAUUUUUGGUAAUUGAUGGAACAAGUAAUAUAUCCUUAAGUACUAUUCUGGAAUGUGCAGAUAAGGAAUUUGAUGCUCUUUGUGACAGAAAUCCAAAACCAACGUGAGUGAUAGACAAACCUUCACCAUUACCAAUUAUGAGCUGAUCAGUACCUUUAAACUCCUCACUGAUCUGCAAGUUCUCCAUGUUGUUGGUCAGAUGGUGAGUUGCCCCACUAUCCAAGUACCAUCCAUCAUCAGCAACUCCUUCAAAGUUAGCCAUAAAUGCUGCUCCAGGAGUACAAGCAUCAAAACCAGAAUAAUAGCUACUGCCAGACAUAGGAUUAUAAGCUGAAGACAUAUAAUUGAAGUUCUCAUAAUCUUCAAAGUUUGGAUUUGGAGCAGAACCAUCAAAAUUUGACAGAUAUGCUGAUCUGGGUGCUUUUCCUUUUCCAAAACCCCUUGGCAUUGGCACAUAAUCUUCAACAAAUCUAUGCCAACAGAUAUCAGUAGUAUGACCAGAUUUGAAACAAAUCUGACAUAUUGAGUCCACUGGAUUGUUAUUGAAAGCUCCUUAUGAUCCAUUCUUGAUAACAGAUGGUGAACUCCUUGGUGCUAAAGGAUUAUUACCAUUAAAAGGAUUACCAACAGGAUAUCCUCUACCAAAGCCACCUCUAAAACCUCCAUUAAACAUUCUUGGAGAAAGAUUCAUAUUUCCUCUACCAGAGAAAACAUUCCUACCACCAUAAUAACCUCCUCUCCUAAAAUUUCCUCUAGGCUGUGCAUAAUAAACCGUAUGAUGAAAUGAAUUAGUAUAGGCAUUAGUAUAUGCAUAGUUAGCAUUGAACAUACUCUUAUCAUCCUGAUCUUGUUCCAACCUAGUUUCAUGAGUAAGCAAUAACGCAUAAGCAUCAUCAAAUUCCAUGCGUGAACUAGUUAUGAAGGUAGUAAUAUCACGGUAUCCUGAUCCUAAUCCAUUGAGUAUGGUUAGCAUUAGAGAUUCCUUUUUAAGAGUGUUCAGCUCAUAUCUCAGCUGAAGAACUCGAGCUUCAGAUUGAACUCCAAACUUAUUUUCUAAUGUUUUCCAUACACCAGAUGAACUUUCACAGUUAAUAACAAGACUAAGGAUACCUUCACUUAAUGUUGACAGCAGCCAACUAUGUUGUUACUUGAAUAAGAAAAGAAAACAAAGUUUACAAAUGGAAAUGAAAGCCACGUGAAUUGUCAAGAGAACUUCACUCAAUUCAUUAACUGAAAACAUUACACUUUAAAGCUUAAAUAGCACACCAAAGCCAAAUAACAACCCACUAGAAUCAUGGUCCAAAGAUUGUGCCACGAUCACAGCAAGAAUCAACAAAAUAAAUAACCAACACCAGAAAAAUAGGAAAAGUUUGAAACAUUCAACAGAAGCAACUUCUAUGACUCCACAUCAGCAGUCCUAAACACAUCUUCUAACACUCCUCCUUGCUUUAGGAGCUGCAAACACCAAGUUUUGUUAUGAAAAACUCAAACUUGCUAACCGGCAGUGGCUUGGUGAAAACAUCUGCAACCUGAUCUUCUGUUUUGCAGUAGACAAGACUAACAACUCCAUUUUUCUGCACUUCUCUUAAGAAGAAUAAUUUAAUAUUAAAGUGCUUAGUUUUCCCGUGAAACACAGGAUUUUGAGAGAUUGCAAUAGCAGCUUGGUUGUCAACUAGAAUCUCUGUACUUUCCUCCUGCUCCAAGUUAAGAUCAUGAUAACUCUAUAAAAUGAGAGUUAUUAUGACAAUUCUAGACUUAAAUCAAGAUCACUUAGAGAGUAAAUGAUGUGUUUUUAUUGCAUUUUUGUUACAUUUUGCAUAAACAUUCAUUUUAGUUUAGUCUUAAUAAGUUUUGCUUGAUUUAAAGUAAUUCGUGCUCAAAUUGUGUGCAGAAUUGUAGGUUUCCAGAAGCUUAUAAUUCAUGGAAGAAAUGCUGAUGCAAUAGGCUGGCAAAAAAGAGGAAGAACAUGACUAUAAAAGAAUUGAAACAAAUCUGGAACAGUACAGUUGCUGUAGCCGUUGCUGUAGCAAUCCUGGAACAACGACAGAGAAAAUUCCGUGCGGGAUACUUACAGAAUUGCGAUCUGCAGUUUCCUAAUCUGACUUAUGCGUGCCCUAGGCUUCCGUUUACCUUAAUUUUCAACUAUAAAAGAAGCACACAUCAUAAGGAAAAGAGAGAGCCGUCACCCAAGGAGAAAAACACAAAGAAACAAAAGAAAAACAAGAUUCAAGAGAAAGAUUAAGGGCUGCACAAGAGGAGAAUUUGCAUAAAUCAAUUGGGAGCUCAAUCAUUCUUAUUCUUCUCUUGUUUUCAUGUUUUCUAUUUAUUCAUGGGGAUGUGUUUCAUGGCUGAAACUUUGUUCUUUAUUUUUCUUUUGCAAAUCAUGAACUAAAUUUAUUUAUAGUUGAGUGAUAAACAAUCUUGAUGGUUUAUUGACUGGAAAUAUGUGUUGCUGCAUGUUUGCUGUAGCAGUUUGUUUUGAUAGUAUUUAUUUUAUUCGUUAUUUCGGUUGAUCACCCAUUUAAUGAUAAUAGAUAAUGAAGAGUCGUAAAAGGGCCUAUCUUAGUGGAACAUAUCAGAACAAUACUUGAUCUUAAAUUGAGUUUCCCGGAUUGAGUUUUACUUGAGUCCCAAAAGGGCCAUACUUGAUUUAAGAUUAAUGAUGAACUAGACAUAAGGAUUCACCUUGUAGGGUAAAUAGAACCUAAGCGUGUAAUGCUAUAUCUUAUGUUGGCAUAACAACUGAUCACUGUUAGGUUGCAUAUAAAUAUAAGAUAUCCAACAUGUGACAGCUGAGGAUACAUAAGCUGAUCCAUCUUGGCUUCUUCAUAAUUUUUAGGUUCACACACAGCAACAUUGCAUCUUUGGUAAACAUCUGAAAGUGGUCUUGUGCCCCUAAUAGGUCUGUCAUCCACCGUUUCAUUUCCCAAUCUUCAAUGCUUUGAUCUGCUGUGUCCACAACAGGAAACUUGAGUUUUGGCUUUUUUGAGGUUGAAUCCAUCUUCUUUGCAUCAUCCCAAUUCCACUCUUCAUCUUCCAUAAAGUGCACAUCCCUGCUUAUAAUAAUUUUUCCAGUUUGUGGCUGGAAAACUUUAUAAGCUUUUGCAACAGGAAUUUCAUAGUCUUCUUCCACUGCUUCCCAAAGAUCCAAAGCUUCCAAGUAUGUCUCCAUACGUACUGCCCAAAGCUGGUAGUUGUUUCCGUCAAACACCGUCGGAGCAAUUGCGGAGAAACUAGCUUCGGCUUCCAUGACUUGACAAAUUCAAACAUAGAUCCCUUAAGAAGAAAGCUCUGAUACCAGAUGUUGUUACUUGAAUAAGAAAAGAAAACAAAGUUUACAAAUGGAAAUGAAAGCCACGUGAAUUGUCAAGAGAACUUCACUCAAUUCAUUAACUGAAAACAUUACACUUUAAAGCUUAAAUAACACACCAAAGCCAAAUAACAACCCACUAGAAUCAUGGUCCAAAGAUUGUGCCACGAUCACAGCAACUAAGAAGAAUUUGAUCAUGUGAUCUCCAGAUCUGAUACUCAGGAUUCUCAAUUUGUUGUGUAGAUCCAUCAACUCUAGCUAACAAAAUAUUUUCUUCAGGUGCUGAUUUGAUUCCAGUUAUGAAGUCUUCCAGUCGAUUACCUCUAAUCGAAGCUAGAACUUGUGAACGCUAGAGAAGGUAGUUUGAUCGAUCUAGUUUAAUUGGAUUCGUGAAAGAGAAAUUGAUUUGAGUGUGUUGAUUNNNNNNNNNNNNNNNNNNNNNNNNNNNNNNNNNNNNNNNNNNNNNNNNNNNNNNNNNNNNNNNNNNNNNNNNNNNNNNNNNNNNNNNNNNNNNNNNNNNNNNNNNNNNNNNNNNNNNNNNNNNNNNNNNNNNNNNNNNNNNNNNNNNNNNNNNNNNNNNNNNNNNNNNNNNNNNNNNNNNNNNNNNNNNNNNNNNNNNNNNNNNNNNNNNNNNNNNNNNNNNNNNNNNNNNNNNNNNNNNNNNNNNNNNNNNNNNNNNNNNNNNNNNNNNNNNNNNNNNNNNNNNNNNNNNNNNNNNNNNNNNNNNNNNNNNNNNNNNNNNNNNNNNNNNNNNNNNNNNNNNNNNNNNNNNNNNNNNNNNNNNNNNNNNNNNNNNNNNNNNNNNNNNNNNNNNNNNNNNNNNNNNNNNNNNNNNNNNNNNNNNNNNNNNNNNNNNNNNNNNNNNNNNNNNNNNNNNNNNNNNNNNNNNNNNNNNNNNNNNNNNNNNNNNNNNNNNNNNNNNNNNNNNNNNNNNNNNNNNNNNNNNNNNNNNNNNNNNNNNNNNNNNNNNNNNNNNNNNNNNNNNNNNNNNNNNNNNNNNNNNNNNNNNNNNNNNNNNNNNNNNNNNNNNNNNNNNNNNNNNNNNNNNNNNNNNNNNNNNNNNNNNNNNNNNNNNNNNNNNNNNNNNNNNNNNNNNNNNNNNNNNNNNNNNNNNNNNNNNNNNNNNNNNNNNNNNNNNNNNNNNNNNNNNNNNNNNNNNNNNNNNNNNNNNNNNNNNNNNNNNNNNNNNNNNNNNNNNNNNNNNNNNNNNNNNNNNNNNNNNNNNNNNNNNNNNNNNNNNNNNNNNNNNNNNNNNNNNNNNNNNNNNNNNNNNNNNNNNNNNNNNNNNNNNNNNNNNNNNNNNNNNNNNNNNNNNNNNNNNNNNNNNNNNNNNNNNNNNNNNNNNNNNNNNNNNNNNNNNNNNNNNNNNNNNNNNNNNNNNNNNNNNNNNNNNNNNNNNNNNNNNNNNNNNNNNNNNNNNNNNNNNNNNNNNNNNNNNNNNNNNNNNNNNNNNNNNNNNNNNNNNNNNNNNNNNNNNNNNNNNNNNNNNNNNNNNNNNNNNNNNNNNNNNNNNNNNNNNNNNNNNNNNNNNNNNNNNNNNNNNNNNNNNNNNNNNNNNNNNNNNNNNNNNNNNNNNNNNNNNNNNNNNNNNNNNNNNNNNNNNNNNNNNNNNNNNNNNNNNNNNNNNNNNNNNNNNNNNNNNNNNNNNNNNNNNNNNNNNNNNNNNNNNNNNNNNNNNNNNNNNNNNNNNNNNNNNNNNNNNNNNNNNNNNNNNNNNNNNNNNNNNNNNNNNNNNNNNNNNNNNNNNNNNNNNNNNNNNNNNNNNNNNNNNNNAUAUAUAUAUAGCUGUUAAAUAGAUAAUAAGCAUAGAUCUUCACCUUUAGAUGGUUGCAAUAUUGUCUACAAAGUUGAAUAGUUGCACUCCUUUUCUAUUUUUUAUUUGCUGGUACGGCUUCAAUUGGCCUAUCUCCUCUCAUAAUAUUUCUUUCAUUCAUAACUAUUGGAUAAAGAUUAGAAUUUGAUCAAUGAAAAAAAGAUAAACAAUUACCAAUUCUAAUUGAAAUGCCAUUGUAUUUUCUUAAACAUUCCAAAUAUCAUAAUUUUUUUUCCCUCUUACUUAUUUCUGAAGUUAUUUUCUUCCUGUUUCUAAUGUUUCUCUAAUUCUUAAUCCCUUAAUGAUGAGGCGAGAAAGAUUACGAAAGUGAAACUGAUUAAAACUAAAUAUAUAAAUAUUAGAAUCCAAACGUUCCGUGCCCAAAUCCUGUUAAAUAUGAAAUAUACAAAAUUAACAAGUUGAUCAUCAUGUAAAAAUCUUAUUUAACUCCUAGUUUCAUUACAAAAUCGUUCACAAGUUAAUUGAUAUCCGUAGUAGGUGAUAAAAGCUCAAGCUUUUUUAAUAAGGAAAGCUCAAAAGAAUUUCAUAAGAAAUCACAUACCAAUGAAAAUCAAUGCAGGGAAACAAUUGAGCUAUUUUCCUAGAGGGUAUAGCGCUGAUGACAAUCAGAAGAAUCACUUAAUUAACGUAAUGAAAUAGCAACGUAGUUUAGAUCUACAAUGCCACUUGCCACAUGAAAAUGUAUAUAAUCAUAAUUAAUUAGGGAAAAGGACGUUGUAAUGAUCUGAGUGAGUUGUGCAUCAAUGUGGUUGUGAUCAGGUGACGCUCUUCUUUAAUAGUCAAUUCAGCACUUGAGCUACGUUCUCUUAUCCUUUUUUUUUUUUUCACCCACAAUUACUUCACUGAGAUUGGAUCAAUAAUGCCUCAGCGAAUUCAUUAACAGGAAGACUGUAGGAACUGUAAGGUAAAGAAAUUUAUACUAAUACGCUGCAACGGAGAAACAAAUAAAGAUCCCUCUAUAUUCUCAAAAAAGAACUAACACUAUCUUACAUUCAACUGUUGAUGCAACCAUUGGAGUUACAUCAAUAAUUGGAGUAGUCCAGAUAGGAUUGCUAAUGCUCGAAACAAGUGGCUCUUAGAAAGAAUAGACAAUGACCAGUAAUGAACAUAACUCAAUGGGUCCACUUCAAAAAGCAAUUGUUCAAUUUCCAUCAACUUGUUUAAUAGGGUAGAUGUGGGAUGGAGAUUUCUAAAGAUUUUAAAUAAACCUUUAGGUUAAAAAGAUUUUAAAAUUAACAAAAUGUCUUUCUAUUAAUAAUAUUAAAAUUAUUUUUUUAUAAUAUUCAAAAUAAUUUAAACUUUACUUUAUUUAUUGCAAUAUUAUGUGUCUAUUUAUUAUUAAAAUUACUUUAAUAUGAUCAAAUAUAUAUGUAUAAUAAAUUGUAAAAUACAAAAAUAUUUUCUUGCUUGUCAACAAAUAUUUUUUUCCCCGAAAGCCAAAAUAAAAUUAUGUCAAUAUCAAUUCUUUAACAUAACAACCUUAGCUUUCUGAAGUCUAAUACUACUCUUUCCAUGCCCAAAAAUUCAAAAAAUUUUAAUUAAUCCUGUUACUGGGCUUGCGGCAGUUUCGCUAUUGAAGGCAAUUUGAUAUUAAAAUAUUUUUUAAUGAAAAAUUCUUUAAAUUAAACAAAUAAUUUAUCAUGAUUGGUCCUACGAUAAGCAGAUACACAAUCACUCUAAAUUGUAGUUUUGCAUCAUAUAUAUAUUUCGUAUAUUAACAAAAUUGAGGCUAAAUAAAUUUUGUCAAAUGAAAUUAACAAGAUAUUAAAUCAAAUAAAAUAUCUACAUGCCUCAAUAAAAUAUAUAAAUGAUAUGCCCAUAAGAUUCAAUAAAUGAUGGAUUAUUUUAAAAUUUAAAAUUCUGAAAAAUCGCCAAAAUUGAAAGGAUUUUGGACUAAAAUGACUGCUGUACCGUACAUCCGCCUUGGCCGUACAGCAGAAUAAUGCCUCAGUGAAUUCAUUAACAGGAAGACUGUAUGAACUGUAAGGUAAAGAAAUUUAUACUAAUACGCUGCAACGGAGAGACAAAUAAAGAAAUUCUCAAAAAAGAACUAACACUAUCUUACAUUCAACUGUUGAUGCAACCAUUGGAGUUACAUCAAUAAUUGGAGUAGUCCAGAUAGGAUUGCUAAUGCUCGAAACAAGUGGCUCUUAGAAAGAAUAGACAAUGACCAGUAAUGAACAUAACUCAAUGGGUCCACUUCAAAAAGCAAUUGUUCAAUUUCCAUCAACUUGUUUAAUAGGGUAGAUGUGGGAUGGAGAUUUCUAAAGAUUUUAAAUAAACCUUUAGGUUAAAAAGAUUUUAAAAUUAACAAAAUGUCUUUCUAUUAAUAAUAUUAAAAUUAUUUUUUUAUAAUAUUCAAAAUAAUUUAAACUUUACUUUAUUUAUUGCAAUAUUAUGUGUCUAUUUAUUAUUAAAAUUACUUUAAUAUGAUCAAAUAUAUAUGUAUAAUAAAUUGUAAAAUACAAAAAUAUUUUCUUGCUUGUCAACAAAUAUUUUUUUCCUCCAAAGCCAAAAUAAAAUUAUGUCAAUAUCAAUUCUUUAACAUAACAACCUUAGCUUUCUGAAGUCUAAUACUACUCUUUCCAUGCCCAAAAAUUCAAAAAAUUUUAAUUAAUCCUGUUACUGGGCUUGCGGCAGUUUCGCUAUUGAAGGCAAUUUGAUAUUAAAAUAUUUUUUAAUGAAAAAUUCUUUAAAUUAAAAAAGAAACAAUCGAUUUAACCACCAUCAAUCAUGUCGUGGUAGUAAUUAAAAUAAGAUAAAGGUUGGAUAUCUAUUGGAUACCUCUUCUUUUCAAAAGGCAAGCGUCUUGGACUUUUCGCUAAAUGAACGCGUAUCAGUUUUUUGAGUUAAAAAUGAGCAAUAAUGCCGUAUUUGUGGAAUUUAGCCACUUCGCCAGUUCCUUGGCAUCUUCCUUUCAAAUUCUCCCAUGGCGUUUAAUUUUACACCAGUAACCACUUUGAGAUAGAACCAAUCCUUUUAAUAUUUCUUGGAGCAAAAAACAAUACCUCUGGGUGCUACAGAGAGAAGGAGAUAUGCUGGACGUCCACCUCCGACUGUUUUGUGAGAGGUUGAAAAGGGUGUUAGCAGGUGAAGAAGGCAUGUUAACGUGGCCUGAUUCAACAAAUUUAACUCCACGUUUUCAAAACCUUCUUACGGAGUCCGAAAUUAUUGCUACUACUCUGUUGGGAAACUAUGAAGCUGACAUGGCUCGUCGUGUGAUUCAACGCAUCCUUAGAGACCUACCCGAUAAAAACGAAAUAGCUUUGUAUUUUCUGCAACUGUUGGACUUAGAAGAAAGCGAUGAAGACAGCGAGGAAGACAUUUUGGAAAUUCUGGAGGACAUCAAUCACCAUGUCAAUGAAUCUGAGGAAGCCAUUGACUCAUUCUUUAUCAACAUCAUGCAUCAGCAGAACAGUGAAAACGAAAGUGAAAGCAGUACUUGUAUGGCUAUUCUUGUUGGACUCCACAGUAAAAUCAUUGCUAUUAGAAAUCGGAUGCAACAACUUCCACCCGGCAACAAUGGUUUUGAUAUCAGUGAACAAAGGGAAAAACUCAUUCACUUAUUGACUGACGGACAACCUCGGCUUGAUAUCAAUGAAUUUGAAAGGGGCAGAGAGGAGUUGUUUGAUUUAUUGAUUGAAGGACAUCCUCGGCUUGCAGUGGGGCAGAGAGGAGUUGUUUGAUUUUGUUUGAUUUAUUGAUUGAAGGACAUCCUCGGCUUGCAGUGGUUGCAAUUGCCGACAGCAGUGGCUUCGAUAAGACUGCUUUUGCUGCUGAUACUUAUAACAAUAAUCAUGUCAAGUUCUAUUUUGACUGUCUUGCUUGGGUCAGGGUUUCUGUAUUCUACCAUUUUGGCAAGAUAUUGGAUGACAUAAUCAAGUCUGUUAUGCCUCCAUCUCGGGUUAGUGUAAUUAUCGGGGAAGAUUAUCAAUUGAAGAAAUCUAUUCUUCGAGAUUACCUAACAAACAGGAAGUACUUUAUUGUGCUUGAUGAUGUCUUCGAUGACAGUGAGAUAUGGAGUGAUCUUGAAGAAGUUCUUCCUGAUAAUCAGAAUGGAAGCAGAGUAUUGAUAUUGGUCACUGAUCCACACCUCCUUACGCUGUCGGAAAUGGAAAACGGAGAGAAGAUUCGGCUUGAUUCGGUGCUCAUUGGAGGACCAUUGAUCAGAUUAAAGCAUGAAGCCUGGCAAUUUUUCAUCCUACACUAUGGAAGUAUGCCCUUAGAAAAUUAUCUUCAAGGCGAAACGAUUCCGACAAUUUUGAGUCGAAUUUGUUCUGUGUUGGAGUUACCUUUUCACUUGAAAAUCUGCUGCAUUUAUUUGUGUGUUUUCCCUCCAAGUAUUGAGAUAUCUACUAGGCAAUUAUAUCAGUUGUGGGAAGCUGAAGGUUUCAUACCAUACAACAGUGAGGAAACUGCAGAACAUCACUUAAAAGAACUAAUCCGUCGCGGCUUCAUUCAAGUGAGUAAGAGAAGAGCCGGAGGCACAAUUAAAUCGUGUUAUUUUCCAAGUAUUGUAGAUACUUCAUUGUUUUUGGUGGCAGAGAAGACGGAAUUUGUCUGGUCGCCUGACAUGGUAGAGGAACCAAUGGCAAAUGUUAAACGGUGCUUCAUUUUGAAAGAUCUGAUUGACUUCUUUCCUUCAGAAUAUUCUGACAUGUAUCUCCAAUCUUUUCUCAAUCACAGUUCAGAAAGCGAUCGUCUCGCUCGGAUAGAUUGCGAGAAUUUUUGUAAAAAGUUCAAAUACCUUCGGGUAUUGGACUUGGGUUCUGCAGUUCUCGACCAAUUUCCACCCGGAUUAGAAAAUUUAUUCCUUUUGAAGUAUUUGAAAUUGAAUAUCCCUUCGCUCAAAUGCCUUCCUUCGCAGCUAUGCACCCUUUUAAACCUUCAAACACUACAAAUGCCAUCUAGCUACAUAGAUCAGUCACCAGAGGAUAUUUGGAUGAUGCAAAAACUCAUGCAACUAAACUUCGGUUCCAUCACUCUGCCUGCACCUCCAACAAAUUAUUCCAGCUCUUUGAAGAAUCUUAUUUUCAUAUCAGCCUUACACCCUAUUAGUUGCACUCCAGAUAUAUUGGGCAGAUUACCAAAUAUUCAAACUCUUAGAAUAUCUGGAGAUUUGAGUUAUGAUCAAUCUAGGGUUUCCAAAAGCCUAUGCGAACUACAAAAACUUGAAUGGUUGAAGCUGGUGAAUGAAAGCAAGCCCUCACGAAUGGUCCUGUCUGAAUACCAGUUUCCUCCAAGUCUGACCCAUCUGAGCUUAUCAAAUACUGAGCUAAAGGAGGAUCCCAUGCCAACGCUAGAAAAGCUUCCAUACGUUCAAGUGCUGAAACUGAAGCAGAACUCCUAUUUAGGAAGAAAGCUGGCCUGCGUUGGCUCUGGUGGCUUUCCGGAACUUAAGGUUUUGCACCUGAAAUCAAUGUAUUGGCUAGAUGAGUGGACGAUGGGGGCUGGAGCAAUUCCAAAACUUGAAAGCUUAAUUGUCGACCCAUGUGCUUACUUGAGAAAGCUUCCAGAAGAGCUGUGGUGCAUACAGAGCUUGCGCAAAUUGGAUUUACAUUGGCCUCAGACAGAGUUGAGACAAAGACUACGGACUUUCGAGGAUAUGGAGUGGCGGUAUGACAUCCAGUUAUAUCCUUAUGGAAUCUGAUGGAUUGAAUUGGGUGAGUUUUAAUCUUAUCAGACAACUCAUUCUUUUAUAUGCAAUUUUUUUUUAUGUUUAUCGUAAAACCUACAAGGAGGUCAUAAAAAUGCCAAACUAAUUGAGGUUGCUUCUGAUGUCAAAAUUAUGUCUCAACAUAGACUCAGUUUGACUGGCAAAACAGAGUGGGAUAGCCACACAUUGCAGCAGAGAAACAAAGAAAGAUCCCUUUAUAUAUAUCUAAUAAGAACUGUAAAAGCAGAUUUUAAUUUGUGAUUCUUAUUUCCCUUUACUUAUGUAGGCAAAACUGGAGAGGGAAACAACACCAGCCGGACUUUCAAUUUCAUGAGACGGGGCAUUGUUCUAUUUAGCAGAUUUCAAGGAUUUGCUUUAAUAUGCCAUGGUUGCAAUAUUGUCUAGAAACUUGAAUAGUUGCACUCCUUUUUCUAUUUUGAAUUUGCUGGUAUGUUUGUAGGGGCGUGUGCGUGUGUGUUGAGUUUUGAUUAAUGUAUUAUGCUUCGAUGUACUCCAUUUAAGCCCCGGACUUGCCGGUAUGGUUUGGAUAGCUUUGGAUUUGCAUGGUUUGCUAGUUAGAGAAAUGGUUUGCUAGUUAUAGAAAUAUCAAUCUUACUAGGAAAACUACCUCAUGCGUGUACGUUUCUGGCUUCAUUUUAGUUGCUGAUUGCACCUUCAAUUACAUUAGAGUAUAUGGAGUAAAAAAAAAAAGUUAAAUUAUUGGCUGAUUUUUAAGAUACUUUCAAGUUUGGCCCAUACCUCAAUUGUCAGAAAGUAUAUGGAGUAAAAAAAAAAAGGUUGGGUGUAAAUAAGUGAUAUACAGAUGUAAGGCUUCUUUGAUCACAUUUGAAGUUAAUUACAAGCAUAUCUCUUGAUAUUUAAGUAAAUAAAAAAAAUAGAAUAUUGGCUGUUGAAUAGAUAAUAAGCAUAGAUCUUGACUUUUGAAUUAAUUACAAAAAUUUUAGUGAACAGAAGAAAUCCAUUUGUUCCACCGAUUACAUUGAGGAUUUUAAUGAAUCCCAAUCUUAGGUAACAUGCUAAUGCUAACAGUAAUGGCAAGAUAUCAAAUGUCGGAGAUAAGAGACUAUUAGCUUUAAGCGAACCAACAGAGAUUGACAAGUUAGAAAUAACUUGCUAAGUUGAGAAAUACGCCUGACAAAUAAUAUGAUUUUCCCAAAUAAAUUAGGUUUUAAUUUAACAAGUUUUCAUUUACAAAUGCAUUUUAAUCCAAUGAUUUAUCACAAUGUCCCACCAAACUGAACAAAGAAAGAAAGAUAUAAUACAAUUACAAGUUUCCUAAUUAAGCUAUAUGAUUAUGAAUUAAAGCGAAUACUAUUGACUUGACGAACCACUUUUUGUGUUUCUUUAUAAGUACGUAUAUGUACCAACAAAAUUCUUCUUAAAACAAAAAAAAAAUUCUCUCUUUAAAUUUGUAAAUAUUCAUUUACCAAUAAAUUAAUAAAUUAUUCAUUCAAUAAUAAAUAAAUACUCCUCUAAAAUAAUAUCUUUUCGUAGUCCUAAUAAUAUUAUUUUAUAGAUACUUUCUACAUUUAUUGUGCAAUAAUUAAAAAAAUUUAUAUUUUUUAAAAAUAUAAUUACAAUCCAGAUACAUAUAUAUUUAUAAUACAACUCUGAAAUAUAUCAAGACUAGUUAGAAAAUCUACUUCCACUAAUAAUAUUAUUAAGGAGAAAUUAGCCCUAUUCCACGUUUUUACAAUUUGAUUUAAUAUAAAUUUUGUUCAAGAAAUUUAUCUUUUUUAAGAAAAUAUUUGAUUAACAAAUUAUUAUUAUUAUAGCGAAAAUAAAAAAGCAGCGGCAGAAGAAGGCUCUAACAACAAAAUGAAACAUUUACAUUUUUCAUUUCCCAAAACCCUUCGCUCUCUCACUCAGGACACUCACUGAUGCGCAAGCAAUGGCUCGCACUGCCAUCCUCUGCCUCCGCUGGUCAUUACCGGCCAUCGUUGCUCUUCGCCGCUCUCUCUCUGCGGCCGUCCCUGCACUCUCCGCAUCCACUCCUCUCGUAAACCCCUCCAUUUCAUCGGCAUCGUCAUCAGUAAUCUCCUCCUCCUCCUCCUCCAUCAUCCAAUCUCGACUGUGGUUUAUCAACUUCAGGUACAUGUACCUUGAUGUAUGUACCAUCUAAUGCCCUAAAGCAAUUCUAUUAAUCGAUUCAAACAAAAAAAAAUUAUAAUAUAAAAUGGCAAGCUCUCUUUAUUAGAAGAGAAAAUAAAAAUCAAGAAUUUAAGCAUGUCAUUCCUUAAAUCAUUUCCAUCUCUCUCGUCAGUGCAGUUUUACUUACAGGGUCAGGUGUUCUUAAUAAGAUAUUUUCCAAUUGUAAAACUGCAUUUAAGACCAAGUUGAAGUAUCUACUAAUUGUCUCCCCCAAACAUAGAAAUCUACUAUGAAUUGUUCUGUUUUUUUACAUGAUGGGCAAGUAUAUGUAGAAACAUGCAUACUUGUUCCUCAACAGAGACUAUACCAUCAGCCUUCAACCCCCAUUUAUACGAAGUAGCUCACAUAAUAAUUCGAAUGUUCUCUUAUCCAUCAUAGUUGAUUCACAUAUUCUAUGUCACUGCCUAAGAUAAUUUCUAUAUAAAUGAGGCGUGUUGCAUGCCUAAUGAAUGUGCGAUUUGCAACUGUAUAUUUUUUGUUUUGUCGACUUUUGUGUUGCCAAAGUACAGCAGCCAAUACACACAAGCACAAUUGUUGUAAACGGAACUCGUGUAUAAGAGAGAACAAUGUAAUUUCUCUUUCAUCCAUAUCCAGUCAUUGAAGGUAUACGGUGUGAGCAUAUCAUAUGAAUAUUAAAGUAAGUGAAGUAAAUAUCAACAUAAAGAAUUAUGAUAACUGGACAGAUAAAGAACUCAUUGAGAUACAUUUCAUGUGAACAAGUUAUUAGCUCAGUUCCAAGAAACUUAUAAAGCAACAGUUUUCUUUUCAAAAUAUUUAAGUCUUAUCAACAUAAGAGACAAAGUUUAAUUAUUGUAUUCUUAAAAGCAUAAUGAUAAAGUUCUAUUUAAUAGCUAGAAAUAAAGUAAAUUCACUAUAGACAAGAACAAAUUUCUAGAAUUGCUACCUUUUUUUUCAAAUAAAAGAAAUUCACUAAAGAACAAAAUGACGAGAUCCAACUUUAACCAAAAAGCAAAUCACAUAAGCUAACUAAGAAUCUGCACCAUAUGGCUAGAAAUUGACAGCUGGGUUUGCUAGCUUAUUAACAAUGCCAUUACCGUAUCCCAAAAAAUAAAAGAAAUUCUACAUAAAUGUCUCUUUUCAAUUCAUCCCGAGUUUUAGUCAAAACCCAAAAAAUUUCCUUCAUGAAGCUACUCUUUCCAAUGAACAAAUCCAUAAAAUAGUUCACUCAACACAAACAAUUAACCCUUUCCAAAAAAAAAAACACAAACAAUUAACAAAAUUGAUUUAUAACAUGAAAAUUAAAAUAGACAAUAAGAAACACUCAACUGCCAUAUAAAACAUGAAAAUUUCAUCCUAUUAAAUAAUUACAACAAAUAAAUAAACAAAUAAACUUAAUUGAAUUUUUUAGUCAAGAUUUGAGGAGAUUCACUGCAUGAACAAAGGAGAUGGAGAGAAAUUUUAGGGCUUUUUUUUUGGGUGAAAGCCCAUUUAGUCCAUGUAUUUUAAGAUUAGUGACCAUUUAGUCCUUUUAUUUUUAAAAAUGUCUCGAAACAUCCCUGCUGUUAAAGUAUUAAUACCCCUACCGUUACUUUUUAUUUCUUUUGGCUUACUUUUACAAUAUUAACCUUUUAUAAUAAUUUUUUUGUUUGGACAUUAAUAAAAAGAAAAUAAUUAAAUUACCAAAUUAACCAUAAAAAUGAAAAUUAAAAAUUUAUAUUAAUUUUUAACUGUCAAAAAUUGCAUGCAAACUACCAAGUGUGCAAAUGGUGCUUGCAAAAAAAUUAAUAUAAAUUUUAUUUUUUAUUUUUAGGGUUAAAUUAGUAAUUUAAUUUUUUUAUUAAUGUCCGAAAAAAUUAUUAUAAAAGGGUAAUAUUAUAAAAGUAAGUCAAAAGAAAUAAAAAGUAACAGUAGGGAUAUAAAUACUUUAACGAAAGGGAUGUUUUGAGGCAUUUUUAAAAAUAUAGGGACUAAAUAGACACUAAUAUUAAAAUAAAAUGACUAAAUAAACUUUUACCCUACUUUUUUUUUAAUCCUGUGAAUAGCCUAUGGCUAAAUUUUAGAUUAUCCCACGCCCCCUGGUUAUAAAAAUUAAAGUAGUGACAGUUAUAAUGCAUCUUCGCUUUAACAAUUGUGAGUAUGGGUUGUAAAUUUGCUUUCUAUCUAAUUAUGCUUUUGGCAUAUGCGCCUAAAUAUACACGUCAGGAAAUUGAAUUGUAUGUUUUUUACAAUAACUCUUUUUUUUUUUUUUGAAGGGAAAGUAAAGCUUUCCAUUAAACUGACUUUGAAAACAACAGCAAAAUAUUGUAUGGAAAAUUUUCCAGCCACAGAGCAGGUCUUUCAAAACUUAAAGCUAAUUUAGCUAAUGAAUCAACUAAAGCAUUACAAGCUCUCGGGACAUAUUGAAUUCUCGAGGGAUUUUGGUUUUUUGAAAACAACUGAAUGUCAGCAAUUGUCCAGGCUAUCUCUGUUAAGCUACCCUUUCUGUUGAUAGAUAGCUCCACCACCUCUGAUGAAUCUGAUUCAAUAAUCAUAGGCCUACAGUUUACUUGAAAAGCAUUUUGAAUACCAAAGAGGACAGCCUCAGCCUCCAUAUCAACCACAGAACCCUCAUAUAGAACUCUCUUAACAGCUGCAGCUAUGAUCUUUCCCCUGGAAUUCCUUAUCACUACCCCCAGACCCGCCUGCUGGGCUGAAGUAUUUAUUGCAGCAUCCACAUUCACUUUGUACCAACCUUCUGGGGGGCCCAUCCAAGUCUGAAUCUUUUUCCUGGGAGUCUUUAAGGUAGCUUGAUCCUUCGAGCAUUUUAUCCUCUUGUACGAUUCCACUAUGGCUUCUGCUCUUGCAACUGGUAAGAGGGGGUCCUCUUGUUUCCCCUUAAAAAUUUGGAUAUUUCUUGAAUGCUAGAUAGCCCAACAGAUUGCAGCUACCAUCUCCCUGCCUUCUUUGCUUCUUUUCAAAGCUACUUCUUGGAUCAUGCUUAAGAUAUCUUGUUGAGCCAUCAUCUUUAUAUCUUCGUAAAAUUCUGUCUUUUUCCAAACUCUUCUAGUAGCCUUACAUUCCAGUAAAGCAUGGACCACAUCUUCUCUCCUACACCCACAUCUUACGCACACUGGCUCCACCACAAUUUUCCUUUUCCAUAAGUUACUUGCUGUUGGCAGCAGAUUUUUGAUAGCCUUCCACAUAAAUAUUUUCACCUUUUCUGGAAGCUCGUCGGACCAAAAGACAUCCCAUCGUGAUUUGGAGCUAUCAGAACAACUUGGGACUUCUUUGAAUUUUUCCUUCACAUCUAUUUGGUAACCACUCAUAGCUGAGUAUUUCCCAUGCUUAUCAAACCGCCAUAUUAGAGCAUCUGGUUGAGGAGUUCCUCGGGAGAGGUAGUUUUAAAAUUUCUGCUGAAAUGUCCUCUGAGAAACUUUGAGCUAUUAGAUCUCCAUUCCAUUGCUGGCCAUCCUUUAUCAGAUCCGCCACAACAGCUUCAGGAUGUAGACUUGACCAAGGGACUAGUCUGAAAACACUAUUCUGAAUCCAAUUUUUGUUGUGCACUGAGAUUUGCUUCCCGUUCCCAAUCCUCCACCUCAAUCCCUCUUUUAGCAGUUGGGGAAGCACCGCUUGAGCCACCGCUUUUAUAAGAACUUCCUUCCCCCCACUGGAAAAAUAUUGUCUCUGCCAGCUAGAUAAUUUGCUCAACACUCGUAGCUUUAUGUCAUUAAAGAACCUAGUUUUUGCUCUCUCCACCAUAAAAGGAAGUCCAAGAUAUUUCUUAUGCUUGGACACUACAGCCAAAUCAAAAAUGCUGCUUAUUUCCUCCCUCAGCUGCUGACUUGUGCUAGAACUGAAAAACAUAGAGGACUUUUCAUAAUUGAAAAUCUACCUUGAGGCUACAGUGUAACAGUCAAAAACUUUCUUUAGCUCUCUGCGCUCAGCAUUAGAAGCUCUUAUGAACACUAGGCUGUCAUCUGCGAACAAAAGAUGAGUGACCAAAAUCUCUCUUCUGAAUUUCAAACCGUGAAAGAGGUUUUGACCUUCUGCUCUUACCAGUAAAUUUGAGAAUACUUCAGCACACAUAAUGAACAGGUAUGGCGAAAGCGGACAUUCUUGUCUUAAUCCACGUUGAGGAUGGAUGAGACCUUUUGCCAAUUCAUUUAUCAAGACUGAAAAGCUAGCUGUGGAUAUGCAAUUCAUAACCAAAUUCACCCACCUCACCGAAAAACCUAGCUUUUCCAUUGUUCCUUUAACAAAACUCUACUCCACCCUGUCAUAGGCCUUACUAAUGUCUAAUUUCAGAGCUAUCAAUCCAUUUCUGUCUAAUUUUGUUUAGACACUCAUAUCUUAUGAUUAUGUUAUCAGUUAUGAGCCUAUUAGGAAAUAAAGCACUUUGAUUGGGAGAUAUAAUAUCAUUCAGAACUAUUAGCUAUUGUUUUUCGACAAUUCUGUAAAUGACAUUACAAAGACUAAUUGGUCUUAACUCUGUCACUUUCCUAAGCUUUGACACUUUCGGGACUAAAGCAAUAAAAGUUUGGUUCAAAAGAGUAAGAUUACCUCCCUCAUUUAGGAUGUGCAGACAUGUUGAAACCACCCCCUCAUUGACAGAGCUCCAAUGCUUUUGGAAGAAGGCCACCGGAAGACCAUCUGGACCUGGUGCCUUUGUGGGACAGAUGGGCUUGAUGUGGUGAAAAUAUUUGUAAAAUAUUUUCACUACCUCGACAUCUUCAAUCCAAUCACCAUUUUCGUCUUCAAUGCCAUGGAUUCUGUUUUUUUUUUCCUCCUAGCCGAAGCCUUUGUAUGGAAAUAUUUUGUGUUCCUAUCACCCUCUUUCAGCCAAUCCACUCUCGAUCUUUGCUUCCAAAAAAUUUCUUCAUCAGCUAGAAUAUUAUCUAUCUAAUUUUCAACUCGUUUUAAUUCAUCUCCACUUUCAAAAUGAUAGUAAUCUUUUUUCAUGCUUUCCAGCUUGUUAACAAGUUUCUCCAGCUUCUUUUUCCUUCCAUUAAAUUCUCCAUUGCUCCAAAGUUUCAGCUCAGCCAAGGUUUCUUUCGAUUUUUUCAUGAAGAUUUCAGCCGGGUUGCUACUAUUCCAGCAACAUUGCUCCUUCCAUUCAUGCUUCACAAUUGUCUUGCACUUCUCGUACGGGCUCCACAUAUCUUCAUAAUGGAGCCUAGGAUAUGUUCUCUUCAUGUAGCCCUUGCCCCUGCCUUUCUCCAGCACUUCCAUCAUAAUCGAAAUGUGGUUCGAACUCCACGAAGUCAAAUUCGAAGCUACCUUUUCCUAAUAAAAGCUUCCCCAUUUUCUGUUGCACAAGAAUCUAUCGAGUUUCUCUUCGAUUAUGUGAGGCCCAAACCUCCUAUUUGAUCAAGUGAAAGGGUAUCCGCUACUUCCCAAAUCUUUCAAAUCACAGUCCCUCAUUGCUCUCCUAAACUCAUUCACCUCAUUUACCCGUUUCUCAUUUCCCCCAAUCUUCUCAUUUAAGUUCAACAUUUCAUUAAAAUCCCCAAAACACAGCCAUGGUAAUGAAGACAACUUUGUUAUCCUUCUCAACAGCUCCCAAGUGUGUUUUUUUUGUCAGAUUCAGGAUGUCCGUAAACCCCCGUGCACAUCCAAUAGCUUCCAUUUUCGCUAUGCACCACGGCAUCAACAUGGUGUUUACUGUAAGACUUGAUAUCAAUUGUAACCUCUUCAUUCCACAAUAAAGCCAAACCGCCCCCCCAAACCUUCUCUAUUAACUGCAAAGUAGUUUUGAUACCUCAACCUUUUUGCUUUCUCUUGCAUUUGCUUAACCUUCAAUUUAGUUUCAUAGAUGAACAUAAUUUCAGGCCUAUGCUCACACAAGAGUUGCUGGGCUUCUCAGAACGUUCGGUCAUUUCUCAGCCCCUGAACGUUCCAGCUAACGAUUUUCAUGGCUGUCAGCGAGGCUGUUUCACAGCCACCGCCGAUUUCUCAUUUCCAGCAUUCUCAAACUCCCCCUUGUCUUCCUCUUCCACAUUUUCAAAGCUGAGCCCCUUUGUUGCCAAGGCUUUUCCAAACCGUUGGUUGCUCCCCAUUUUUUGUGGGCUGUUCCCUUUGCACUUUUUUGGUUUUGGGCUUUCCCAGUUCAUUGAGCUUCUCAACCUUUUUAAUCCCAAAACUUCUUCAUUUGUUUCUAUAUUCCCUUCCACGUUGCGGGCUUGAAAUUUCCACGUUGCGGGCUUGAAAUUUCCACUUCUUUUUCUAUAUUCCCUUCCACGUUGCGGGCUUGAAAUUUCCACUUCUUUUUCUUGGGCUUUGAUUUAUCCAUUCUGAGCCCAUUCUCUCUAUUCUCCACUUCUGAUUUCGUUUGGAGUGAACACGUAUACAUGUUGAGCUUGUGGCCCCCCUCUUCUAUACUGCCUUUCCUUCCAUUUUCUUCUUGCUCCCCUUUUCCCGCUCUAUAUAAGCCCGCAUUUUGCAUUUUUACUGACUUUUUAUGUUGGAGGUUCGCUUCCCACUCUUUUUCUUUUCCAUCUAUAGUUCUUGCCUCCUUGUCCAUCUCCCACAGCACUGCACCUCCAUCUGCUUGAUUUUUACUGACAUUACAGCUGGCCGCUGGCUCUGCAGUCUUUUUUGCCUCUUUCAUUAAUUGUUCCCCAGUUCCCAAUUGAUCCCUGCUCCUCGUUCCACUCAAACUCCCCAUACCUGAAUCCAAUUCGGGCCUAUUGAGUCCAUAUUCUAUUUCAUGAACCCCUCCGUUUUGUUGGUCUUUCUCCAUCAUAUCAUUUUCUCCAGCCCUUUUAUUGGAUCUAAAGCAUUUGGAGGAUUGUUUCUGAAAUCUGAAUCCCAUCUAUCUUUCCUUCUACCCUGUUUCAAUUUCUCAGUAAUCGUGAGUGCCUUAAGCCAUGGACCAUACGGCAUUUCAUCCUUGGACUGAGAUUUAUAGUGGACACACUCUCUGUAUUAGUGACCUAUCCGCCCGCAACAGAAACAAAAAUCCAGCAGUCUUUCGUACAUGACCCGCAUAGGAAUGUCUUCCUCAUCCUCCCCUUUUUGCUCUAGCUCAAUUAGUUUCUUUAAAGGCUUCGUGACAUCCACAGAAAUUCUCAACCUCAAAAAUUGUCCAAAGCAUUCCCCAGUUGCAUCUGUUUCAAUUUCUUCAACUUUUCCAAUGACAUUUCCUAGCUCCAAUGCCAUCUCCUUUGACAUACACAUGAUGGGGAUAUUGUGUAUCUGCACCCAGAAUGAUACGUGAUUGAAUUUCUACUUCUUUACAUCACCAAUUCCCGCUGGUUCGGUGAGCACAAUGAGUGCUCUGUCAAAAUGCCAAGGGCCACCCGCCUCAGUUCCAAACUUAAACAUGAACACAUUAUCACCCAGAUCUUCUAUCUUUACUUCGCGUGAGGUUCUCCAUUCCCUUUGCAUAACAGACUUCAACCCCUCAAUACUGACUCCCCUCGUAUGCAGAACUUUCCCGAUCAAACACCCCGCAACUAUUUUUUCCCCAAUGGCCUUCAUUUGACUCUUGAAAGAAACUCUUCCCUCCUCUUCAUCACUCAACUUUAUCGCUCUACAUCUUCUGAUUAGCUCCUCUGGGUCCAUCCUCUCUAACUCACAGACUUGCAGGCUAGAAAGGAUUAGCUGGGAGCUUGGAGCCUUUAAGGAUUUGACUUUUGAAAGAGAAUUUCACCAACUACUCAACACUCUUUCACAGAUUGACUGACCUAAAUCCCGUACAUCAUUAAAUAAUGAAAGUGAUAAAAACAAUAGGAAGAAAACCCACCCCCAUCAGAGUGACUUAAAGGAGCCAUGACACCUCUAUUUUUCCUCUCAUCGUUGUAAGUUUUCAGAGAAAACUCAUAAGGAGAGAGACUGACAACUCAAACCUUAGUUCACAACAACUCUUAAAUACAUGGAUCCAUAUCUUUCUAUUUUCAAAAUGGUUGUGGAAAAGUAAAACUGUGUUACUCUCUCUUGGCAUUGGGCUAAUUCUCCGUGAGAAUCUUGAAAUAAAGUUAACUUUUAUAACUAGAGGGAGGACCAACUUCUUUUAUAAUUAAAAUAUUUAAUGUAAUAAAAUGUAUAAAUAUAUCUAAUAUGGGCUUAAUAAGAAUUCAUGUGCGACAUUAAAGGUAUGCUUGGUACCAUUUUUUGGUAAACCUUUUUUUUUUUUCAUUUUAUGACAAUACAAAAAUGUAAAACUCAUUUGGUGGAUGCAAAAAAUAUAAAAUUGAAUAGUUAUUGGUUUUUACUUUUUUUUCAUAAAGGUAAAAAACAUUAAAUUGAGGUUCUUUUAUCAUAUUUCUCAUUGAAUUCCCUCAAAAGUGAAAUAAAUCAUUAGAAAAAGGAGACAUACAUCCUUAAAAUUUGAAAAUUUUGUUAUGCAAACUCUUAAAUAUAAUAUAAUACCCUUUGGAUAUAGAAACUAGAAAAUUGACUUUAAAAGGUUUUAAUAAACUUUGCUGCUGUACGGCCAAGGCGGAUGUACGGUACAGCAGUUUAAUUUUAUAUUUAUAUUUAUUUUAAAGAUUUUAAAUAAAUCUUUGGAUUAAAAAGAUUUUACAAUUAGCAAAAUAUCUUCCUAUCAAUAAUAUUAAAAUUAUUUAUUGAUAAUAUUCCAAAUAAUUUAAAUUUAUUUAUUGUAAUAUUAUGUUUCUAUUUAUUAUUAAAAUUACUUUAAUAUGAUAAAAUAUGCAUCGCAGAUUCUAAAGUAUAAAAAUAUUUUCUUUGCUUGUCAACAAAUGUUUUUUUCCUGAAAACCAAAAUAAAAUUAGAGUGAUAAUAGAGCUACAAACUCUUGUACAAACUUAUUUCGUACAAACUGAUGCGUCAUUAAUUCAUUGGUUGAAUGAAAAUAUAAAAUAAUAGAAAUAAAUCAUGUGGGCCAAGAGAUAUUUAAUUCAACCAAUGAAUUAACGGCAUAUCAGUUUGUACAAAAUAAGUUUGUAUAAGAGUUUGUGGCUAUAUCAUUACUCAUAAAAUUAUGUCAACAUCAAUUCUUCAACACAGCAACAUUUGCUACCCUGCUUUAUGUUUAAUACUACUCUUUCCAUGCCCAAAAAUUCAAAAAUUUUUAAUGGGUCUUGUUACUGGGCUUCUGGCAGUAAUAACAUUGAAGGCAUUUUGAUUUUAAAUUUCUUUUAAAAGAAAAAUUCUUUAAAUUAAAAAAAAGAAAAGAAAAGAAAAAAUUGAUUUAAGAUGAAGGUUGGAUCCCUAUUCUUUUCAGAAGGCACGCGUCUCGAAGAACAUGUAUCACGUGUCUAAGAGAAAAAUGAGCAAUAAUGCCGUAUUUGCGGAAUUUAGCCACUUCGCCAGUUUCUUGGCAUCUUCCUUGCAAAUUCUUCCAUAGUGUUUAAUUUUCCAUAGUGUUUUAAUAUUCAACAUUUCUUGAAGCAAAUAACAAUACAUCUGGGUGCUACAGACAGAAGGAGAUAUGCUGGACGUCCACCUCCGACUAUUUUGUGAGAGGUUGAAAAGGGUGUUAGCUGGUGAAGAAGGCACGUUGACGUUGCGUGAUUCAACAAAUUUAGCCAUCUAGCUACAUAGAUCAUUCACCAGAUGAUAUUUGGAGGAUGCAAAAACUCAUGUAUCUAAACUUCGGUUUCAUCAAUCUGCCCGCACCUCAAAAAAAUUAUUGCAGCUCUCUGAAAAAUCUCAUUUUCUUAUCAGCCUUACACCCUAGCAGUUGCACUCCAGCUAUAUUGGGCAGACUACCAAUUGUCCAAAGUCUAAGAAUAUCUGGAGAUUUGAGUUACUAUCAAUCUGGGGUUUCCAAAAGCCUAUGCGAACUGCACAAACUUGAAUGCUUGAAGCUGGUGAAUGGGAGCAAGCGCUCACGGAUUGUCCUGACUGAAUACCAACUUCCUCCAAGUCUGAGCCAUACGAGCAUAUCGAACACUGAGCUAAUUGAGGAUCCCAUGCCAAUGCUGGAAAAGCUUCCACGCCUUCAAGUGCUGAAACUGAAGCAGAACUCGUAUUUAGGAAGAAAGCUGGCCUGCGUUGGCUCUGGUGGCUUUCCGGAACUUAAGAUUUUGCACCUGAAGUCAAUGUAUUGGCUAGACGAGUGGACGAUGGGGGCAGGAGCAAUGCCAAAACUUGAAACCUUAAUUGUCAACCCAUGUGCUUACUUGAGAAAGCUUCCAGAAGAGCUAUGGUGCAUAAAGAGCUUGUGCAAAUUGGAUUUACAUUGGCCUCAGACAGAGUUGAGACAAAGACUACGGACUUUCGAGGAUAUGGAGUGGCGGUAUGACAUCCAGUUAUAUCCUUACGGAAUCUGAUAGAUUGAAUUGGGUGACUUUUAAUCUAAUCUGAUAACUCAUACUUCUGUUACUUGCCUCAUUUUAUAUGCAACUUUUUNNNNNNNNNNNNNNNNNNNNNNNNNNNNNNNNNNNNNNNNNNNNNNNNNNNNNNNNNNNNNNNNNNNNNNNNNNNNNNNNNNNNNNNNNNNNNNNNNNNNNNNNNNNNNNNNNNNNNNNNNNNNNNNNNNNNNNNNNNNNNNNNNNNNNNNNNNNNNNNNNNNNNUGUAUCUAUCUAAUAAUUAGAACUGUAAAAGUUGAUUUUCAUCUAUGAUUCUUAUUUCCUUUUACUUGUGUAGACAAAAUCGGCAAGGGAAAUAUUGUAAUUCAGUAUUUGCUAUAACUGAUGCCAUGGUUGCAAUAUUGUCUACAAACAUGAAUAGUUGUACUCCUUUCUCUAUUUUUUGAAUUUUUUGGUAUGUAUGUUUGUGUAUUUGUUUUAGUUACUGUUUUAUGCUUAGAAGUGCUCCAUUUAGGCCCUAGAUACAUGCAGGUACGGUUUGGCUAGCUGUGGACUUGUAUGGUUUUCUAGUUAAAGAAAAUAUCAAUCUUCUAGAAAAACUGCCUCAUGCGUGUACAUUUCUGCUUCAUUUUAGUUGCUGCCUCAUGCAUAAAAUUAUGUACAACUAUACAUUUCUUAUUAAUUUAUGCAUGUAGUGAUGUUUUGAAUCAUAUCGGAGAAUCGUUUAUAUUUAUUAAGACUCAAUGUACAUGCAAUUUGUAGUAUCGCCCAGAGAUCUGCCAAGCAUUAGCUUAGAAAAAUACUCUGUCCAAAUUCAGAGAAAUUAGCCCGGGUCAUAUUUAAAUAAAUAAAUAUAAGGCCCUAAUUGAAAUGCCAUUGUAUUUUCUUAAAUUUCAAUUAAUUAUCAAAUAGAAAAAUGGCAAGUCACAUUUGAACUUAUUUACAAGCAUAGCUCUUGAUAUUUAAAUAAAUAUAUAUAUAUUUAGAUAUACCUUCAAUUGGCCUAUCUCCUCUCAUAAUAUUUCUUUCAUUCAUAACUAUUGGAUAAAGAUUAGAAUUUGAUCAAUGAAAAAAAGAUAAACAAUUACCAAUUCUAAUUGAAAUGCCAUUGUAUUUUCUUAAAUUUCAAUUAAUUAUCAAAUAGAAAAAUGGCAAGUUUUUUUUGCUUCUUGAUUUUGAUUGGGAAAACUACUGAGACAGAGAUCUUUAAUUGCUAGACAUCUUCAAUAAAUGACUCCUAGCUAAAACUCCCAAAAACUAUUCAUAGAUAUCAAUUAUUAAUGCAUAUUUACUCAACAAAAAAUUAUGAUAUAUUCCAAAUAUCAUAAUUUUUUUUCCCUCUUAUUAUUUCUGAAGUUAUUUUCUUCCUGUUUCUAAUGUUUCUCUAAUUCUUAAUCCCUUAAUGAUGAGGCGAGAAAGAUUACGAAAGUCAAACUGAUUAAAACUACAUAUAUAAAUAUUAGAAUCCAAACGUCCCGUGCCCAAAUCCUGUUGAACAACUAAUCUACAAGGGCAUUGGCCAGAGGCAAAUGAAGAUGGUUGAAUGAUUAAUUACUUUAAACAAAAAAUAAGUCGAAAUCUAUGAAUAGAAUUUUCCUUUCUUUAUACAUAUUCAAUUAUAACAAACGAUUAUUAAAUUACUCCCAACGAAAGGAUUAGGUUUUUCAUUAUUGCAAUUAAACAAGAUUCUCAUUUUCUCGCAUCGCGUGCAUUGCAAGUUGCAACAAUCGAAAACUCUUGCCGAUGCUAUUAGUAUAAUGUAUAAUGUGAGUGGCCGCAAAAAUGCUCUGCUGAUUUGACACCGGUGUAACUGUAAACUAAACUUUUAUUAUUAAGUAAAACAAACACAUGUUAACAAAAAGAACAAUAAUUCAUCAAUUUGUACAUUGACAACUAAAUAACUAUAAUUUUUUUUUGUUAAAUCUCUAUUUAUAAAAACUCUACUAACAAAAGCCCUCCUUAAAUAAAUUCUAGUUAAAAAGUUAUACCAAACGGAGCCAUAAUAUAAUUACAAAUUUCCUAACUAAGCUACAUUAUUAUGCACCUUAGCAAUUAAAGCAAAUACUAUUGACUUGAGGAAGCACUUUUUGUGUUUCUUUAUUAGUGUGUGCAUGUACCAAACAAACUCUUCUUAAAAGCGAAAACAAAUCUCUCUUUAAAUUAAUAAAUAUUAAUUUAUCAUGAUAAAUUUUUCAUUCAAUAAAUAAAUAAAUAACUUAUCUAAAAUAAUAUUUUUUCUUAGUCCUAACAAUAUUAUUUUAUAGAUAUUGUUCUACAUUACUGUGCAAUAAUGAAAAUUUUUUAUAUUUUUAAAAAUAUAGUUACAAUCUAGAUACAUGUACGUUGAUAAUACAACUUUGAAAUAUAUCAAGACAAUUUUGAAAAUCUACUUCUACUAAUAAUAAUAUUAUGGAGAAAUUAAUUGUCACGUGGCUGCUAUAGAGUCUUAUUCAACAGGGUAAUUGUUGUUAUAGUCAAAACAAAUAUUUAGUUUUUAUUUACUUGUUGAAGUGGUCCACUAAAUCAGCACUUGGUGCUAUCAUUUAGCUGUGUCUUUGUUAUUUUCUGUUAAUGUCUUUGUAUAAAUUCAUAGUCCGAAGAUGAAUAAAAGCCUUGGUUACGUUGGCACGUAAUUUUCUUCAAAGAUGAAUGAAGGCUUCCAAUUAAUUUUCUUCAAAGUUCCUCUAGUAUUGGAAGCCUUGGUCUUCCUCGAAAUAGACCAAGUUCAGCUGAUCGUUCUUUAUUUAAUUAACUACUACAAUAGGGAAAUGAAAGAAAACGAUCCUGAAAAGGCAUGAUUCCUUAUAAGAUCGCUAAUGCUCAAAAUAAGUGGCUCAUAGAAAGACAAUGACCAGUAAUGAACAUAACAUAAUGGGUUCAAUUUCUAUCAACUUGUUUGAUAGUGUAGAUGUGGGAUGGAGAUGGAUUAAAGGAACCUCUUUUGAAAAGCAUCGAAAAUGAAUAAAGUGGGAAAAUCAAGAUAAGCAUGUUUGGUGGAUGCAUUUUUUGAAUUACAAACAAAAAAUACAAAAUUGAAUAGUUCUUGGUUUCCACUUUUUUCAUAAAGGUAAAGAAUGUUAAAUUAAUGUUCUCUGAUGAUAUUUCUUAUCGGAUUUCCCUCAAAAGCAAAAUAAAUUGUCGGAAAAAUAAUACCUACUUCCUUAAAUUUUAAAAAAAUUAUCAUUUAGACCCUGAAAUUUUAAAACAGUUGCACCAAAAUCUUUUCUUUAACUAUGAUACCUCUUGAAUGUACUAACUAAAAAAUUGACUUUAAAAAAUUUUAAUCAAUACGAAUAUAAUAUAAAUAAUAAAAUCUACGUAGUAGGCUAAUAACAUUAUGAGCUAUUUUCCUAGAGGGUAUAACGCUGAUGACAAUGAGGAGAAUCACUUAAUUAACGUAUUGAAAUAGCAACUUGGUUUAGAUCUACAAUGCCACUUGCUAUAUGAAAACGUAUAUAAUCAUAAUUAAUUAGCGAAAAGGACGUUGUAAUUAUCUGAAUUAAGUAAUAAACGCUUCAACUAAUCUACAAGGGCAUUGGCCAGAGGCAAAUGAAGAUGGUUGAAUGAUUAAUUACUUUAAACAAAAAAUAAGUCGAAAUCUAUGAAUAGAAUUUUCCUUUCUUUAUACAUAUUCAAUUAUCACAAACGAUUAUUAAAUUACUCCCUACGAAAGGAUCAGGUUUGUCAAUAUUGCAAUUAAACAAGAUUCUCAUUUUCUCGCAUCGCGUGCAUUGCAAGUUGCAACAAUCGAAAACUCUUGCCGAUGCUAUUAGUAUAAUGUAUAAUGUGACUGGCCGCAAAAAUGCUCUGCUGAUUUGACACCGGUGUAAUUGUAAACUAAACUUUUAUUAUUAAGUAAAACAAACACAUGUUAACAAAAAGAACAAUAAUUCAUCAAUUUGUACAUUGACAACUAAAUAACUAUAAUUUUUUUUGUUAAAUCUCUAUUUAUAAAAACUCUACCAACAAAAGCCCUCCUUAAAUAAGUUCUAGUUUAAAAAUUAUACCAAAUGGGGUCAUAAUAUAAUUACAAAUUUCCGAACUAAGCUACAUUAUUAUGCACCUUAGCAAUUAAAGCAAAUACUAUUGACUUCAGGAAGUACUUUUUGUGUUUCUUUUAUUAGUGUGUGCAUGUACCAAACAAACUCUUCUUAAAAGCGAAAACAAAUCUCUCUUUAAAUUAAUAAAUAUUAAUUUAUCAUGAUAAAUUUUUCAUUCAAUAAAUAAAUAAAUAACUUAUCUAAAAUAAUAUUUUUUCUUAGUCCUAACAAUAUUAUUUUAUAGAUAUUGUUCUACAUUACUGUGCAAUAAUUAAAAUUUUUUAUAUUUUUUAAAAUAUAGUUACAAUCUAGAUACAUGUACGUUGAUAAUACAACUUUGAAAUAUAUCAAGACAAUUUUGAAAAUCUACUUCUACUAAUAAUAAUAUUAUGGAGAAAUUAAUUGUCACGUGGCUGCUAUAGAGUCUUAUUCAACAGGGUAAUUGUUGUUAUAGUCAAAACAAAUAUUUAGUUUUUAUUUACUUGUUGAAGUGGUCCACUAAAUCAGCACUUGGUGCUAUCAUUUAGCUGUGUCUUUGUUAUUUUCUGUUAAUGUCUUUGUAUAAAUUCAUAGUCCGAAGAUGAAUAAAAGCCUUGGUUACGUUGGCACGUAAUUUUCUUCAAAGAUGAAUGAAGGCUUCCAAUUAAUUUUCUUCAAAGUUCCUCUAGUAUUGGAAGCCUUGGUCUUCCUCGAAAUAGACCAAGUUCAGCUGAUCGUUCUUUAUUUAAUUAACUACUACAAUAGGGAAAUGAAAGAAAACGAUCCUGAAAAGGCAUGAUUCCUUAUAAGAUCGCUAAUGCUCAAAAUAAGUGGCUCAUAGAAAGACAAUGACCAGUAAUGAACAUAACAUAAUGGGUUCAAUUUCUAUCAACUUGUUUGAUAGUGUAGAUGUGGGAUGGAGAUGGAUUAAAGGAACCUCUUUUGAAAAGCAUCGAAAAUGAAUAAAGUGGGAAAAUCAAGAUAAGCAUGUUUGGUGGAUGCAUUUUUUGAAUUACAAACAAAAAAUACAAAAUUGAAUAGUUCUUGGUUUCCACUUUUUUCAUAAAGGUAAAGAAUGUUAAAUUAAUGUUCUCUGAUGAUAUUUCUUAUCGGAUUUCCCUCAAAAGCAAAAUAAAUUGUCGGAAAAAUAAUACCUACUUCCUUAAAUUUUAAAAAAAUUAUCAUUUAGACCCUGAAAUUUUAAAACAGUUGCACCAAAAUCUUUUCUUUAACUAUGAUACCUCUUGAAUGUACUAACUAAAAAAUUGACUUUAAAAAAUUUUAAUCAAUACGAAUAUAAUAUAAAUAAUAAAAUCUACGUAGUAGGCUAAUAACAUUAAAGUAUAUUUAACAUUUAAAAUAAUAUUAAAAUUUUCAAAUUAUGAUUUUUAUUUUAAUCUUAUAUUUGUAUUUAUUAUAGAGAUUUUAAAUAAACCUUUGGAUUAAAAAGAUUUUAAAACGAGGUCCGGCGACUUUCCGGCGAUGUCCGACGGUGGUCCGGCGAGGUCCGGUGGUGGUCCGGCGACUUUCCGGUGGAAGUCCAUUUAUAAUAUUAAAUUAAUAAAAUAAAAUAAUAAUUAUUAAUAAUAUUAAAUAAGUUAAAAAAUUAAAGGGUAAUUUUAAAAACUUUAAUUUUUAAUAUAAGAGGAAUUUAAAAUUUUCACUAGUUAAUAUAAGAGAAUAUUAGAUUUUUUUGUUUUUUUUUUUAUUUUAGUUUAACAAUAUAAAUUUUUUUAAUUUUAAAUGGAUAAAUUAAUUGAAUUUUGGAUGUCCAUUAAAUAUUCAUACCCAUCCAAUAUCCAAUUGGAUAUUUUUAAAAAUAUCCAUAUCCAUAUCCAAAAAGAUUUUGGAUGGAUAUUAUCCAAUCCAAUUGGAUUGGAUAUAUGGAUAUCCAAUUUGGAUGGACCAAUUUGCCAUCCCUACUAAUAACAUUAAAGUAUAUUUAACAUUUAAAAUAAUAUUAAAAAUUUCAAAUUAUGAUUUUUAUUUUAAUCUUAUAUUUGUAUUUAUUAUAGAGAUUUUAAUAAACCUUUGGAUUAAAAAGAUUUUAAAAUUAACAAAAUGUCUUCCUAUUAAUAAUAUUAACAUUAUUUUUUAUAAUAUUCCAAAUAAUUUAAACUUCAAUUUAUUUAUUGUAAUAUUAUGUUUCUAUUUAUUAUUAAAAUUACUUUAAUAUGAUAAAAUAUUUUCUUGCUUGUCAAAAAAUUUUUUUUUCCACGAAAGCCAAAAUAAAAUUAUGUCAAUAUCAAUUCUUUAACAGAACAACCUUAGGCCUUUCUAAUGUUUAAUACUACUAUUUCCAUGCCCAAAAAUUGUAAAAUUUUUAAUUAGUCCUGUUACUGGGCUUGAGGCAGUUACGCCAGUGAAGGCAAUUUGAUAUUAAAAUAUUUUUUAAUGAAAAAUUCUUUAAAUUAAAAAAGAAACAAUUGAUUUAAGCACCAAUAAUUAUGUCAUGGUAGUAAUUAAAUAAGAUAAAGGUUGGAUACCGAUUGGGAUACCUGUUCUUUUCAAAAGGCACGCAUCUUGGACUUUUCUCUAAAUGAACGCGUAUCAAUUUUUUGAGUUAAAAAAAGAGCAAUAAUGUCAUAUUUGUGGAAUUUAGCCACUUACACAGUUUCUUGGCAUCUUCCUUUCAAAUUCUCCCAUGGUGUUUAAUCUUUCAACUAUACCUCUGAGUGCUACGGAGAGAAGGAGAUAUGCUGGAAUUCCACCUCCGACUGUUUUGUGAGAGGUUGAAAAGGGUGUUAGCAGGUGAAGAAGGCACGUUGCCGCUGCCAGAUUCAACAAAUUUAACUCCACUUUUUCAAAACCUUCUUACGGAGUCCGAAAUUAUUGCUACUACUCUGCUGGAAAAAAAUGAAGCUGACAUGGCUCGGCAUUUGUUUCAACUCAUUAGAGAAGAAUUCGAUGAAUCCAAAAUAUCUUCGCCUUUUUUGCAACUGUUGGACUUAGAAGAAAGCGAUGAAGAAGUCGUUGAAACAGCAGAUAUUUUUGAAAUUCUGGAGGACAUCAAUGACUUUGUCCAUGAAUCUGAGGAAGCCAUUGACACACUCUUCAUCAACAUCAUGCAGCAGCAAAACAGUGAAAACGAAAGUGAAAGCAGUACUAAUAUGGCUCUUCUUGCUGGUCUCCACAGUAAAAUCAUUGAUAUUAGUAAUCGGAUGCAACAACUUCCACCCGGCGACAAUGGUUUUGAUAUCAGUGAAAAAAGUAACGAAAUCAUUCGCCUAUUGAGUGAGGGACAACCUCGGCUCGAUAUCAGUGAAUUUGAAAGGGGCAGAGAGAAGUUUUUUGAUCUAUUGAUUGAGGGACCAUCUGGGCUUUCAGUGGUUGCAAUUCUCGACAGCAGUGGCUUCGAUAUUUUUCAUAAAGGUAAAGAAUGUUAAAUUAAUGUUCUCUGAUGAUAUUUCUUAUCGGAUUUCCCUCAAAAGCAAAAUAAAUUGUCGGAAAAAUAAUACCUACUUCCUUAAAUUUUAAAAAAAUUAUCAUUUAGACCCUGAAAUUUUAAAACAGUUGCACCAAAAUCUUUUCUUUAACUAUGAUACCUCUUGAAUGUACUAACUAAAAAAUUGACUUUAAAAAAUUUUAAUCAAUACGAAUAUAAUAUAAAUAAUAAAAUCUACGUAGUAGGCUAAUAACAUUAAAGUAUAUUUAACAUUUAAAAUAAUAUUAAAAAUUUCAAAUUAUGAUUUUUAUUUUAAUCUUAUAUUUGUAUUUAUUAUAGAGAUUUUAAAUAAACCUUUGGAUUAAAAAGAUUUUAAAAUUAACAAAAUGUCUUCCUAUUAAUAAUAUUAACAUUAUUUUUUAUAAUAUUCAAAAUAAUUUAAACUUUAAUUUAUUUAUUGUAAUAUUAUGUUUCUAUUUAUUAUUAAAAUUACUUUAAUAUGAUAAAAUAUGCAUAAUAAAUUUUAAAAAAUAAAAUAAUUUUCUUGCUUGUCAACAAUUUUUUUUUUUCCACCAAAACCAAAAUAAAAUUAUGUCAAUAUCAAUUCUUUAACAGAACAACCUUAGGCCUUUCUAAUGUUUAAUACUACUAUUUCCAUGCCCAAAAAUUGUAAAAUUUUUAAUUAGUCCUGUUACUGGGCUUGAGGCAGUUACGCCAGUGAAGGCAAUUUGAUAUUAAAAUAUUUUUUAAUGAAAAAUUCUUUAAAUUAAAAAAGAAACAAUUGAUUUAAGCACCAAUAAUUAUGUCAUGGUAGUAAUUAAAUAAGAUAAAGGUUGGAUACCGAUUGGGAUACCUGUUCUUUUCAAAAGGCACGCAUCUUGGACUUUUCUCUAAAUGAACGCGUAUCAAUUUUUUGAGUUAAAAAAAGAGCAAUAAUGUCAUAUUUGUGGAAUUUAGCCACUUACACAGUUUCUUGGCAUCUUCCUUUCAAAUUCUCCCAUGGUGUUUAAUCUUUCAACUAUACCUCUGAGUGCUACGGAGAGAAGGAGAUAUGCUGGAAUUCCACCUCCGACUGUUUUGUGAGAGGUUGAAAAGGGUGUUAGCAGGUGAAGAAGGCACGUUGCCGCUGCCAGAUUCAACAAAUUUAACUCCACUUUUUCAAAACCUUCUUACGGAGUCCGAAAUUAUUGCUACUACUCUGCUGGAAAAAAAUGAAGCUGACAUGGCUCGGCAUUUGUUUCAACUCAUUAGAGAAGAAUUCGAUGAAUCCAAAAUAUCUUCGCCUUUUUUGCAACUGUUGGACUUAGAAGAAAGCGAUGAAGAAGUCGUUGAAACAGCAGAUAUUUUUGAAAUUCUGGAGGACAUCAAUGACUUUGUCCAUGAAUCUGAGGAAGCCAUUGACACACUCUUCAUCAACAUCAUGCAGCAGCAAAACAGUGAAAACGAAAGUGAAAGCAGUACUAAUAUGGCUCUUCUUGCUGGUCUCCACAGUAAAAUCAUUGAUAUUAGUAAUCGGAUGCAACAACUUCCACCCGGCGACAAUGGUUUUGAUAUCAGUGAAAAAAGUAACGAAAUCAUUCGCCUAUUGAGUGAGGGACAACCUCGGCUCGAUAUCAGUGAAUUUGAAAGGGGCAGAGAGAAGUUUUUUGAUCUAUUGAUUGAGGGACCAUCUGGGCUUUCAGUGGUUGCAAUUCUCGACAGCAGUGGCUUCGAUAGGACUGCUUUUGCUGCAGAUACUUACAACAAUAAUCAUGUAAAGUUCUAUUUUGACUGUCUUGCUUGGGUCAGGGUUUCUGUAUUCUACGAUUUUCGCAUGAUAUUGGAUGACAUAAUCAAGUCUGUGAUGCCUCCAUCUCGGGUGAGUGUAAUUAUCGGUGAAGAUUAUCAAUUCAAGGAAUCUAUUCUUCGAGAUUACCUAACAAACAGGAAGUACUUUAUUGUGCUUGAUGAUGUCUGCGAUAACAUUGAGAUAUGGGAUGAUCUUGAAGAAGUUCUUCCUGAUAAUCAGAAUGGAAGCAGAGUAUUGAUAUUGGUCACUGAUCCAGACCUCCUUGCGUCGUUGGAAAUGGAAAACGGAGAGAAGAUUCGGCUUGCUUCGGUGCUCAUUGGAGGACCAUUGAUCAGAUUAAAGCAUGAAGCCUGGCAAUUUUUCGUCCUACACCAUGGAAGUAUGCCAUUAGAAAAUUAUGUUCAAGGCGAAGCGAUUCCGACAGUUUGGAGACAAAUUUUCUCUGUGAUGGAGUUACCUUUUCACUUGAAAGUCUGCUGCAUCUAUUUGUGUGUCUUCCCACCAGGCAUUGAGAUAUCCACGAGGCAAUUAUAUCAGUUGUGGGUAGCUGAAGGUUUCAUACCAUACAACGAUGAAGAAACUGCCGAACAUUACUUGAAAGAACUAAUCCAUCGCGGCUUCAUUCAAGUGAGUAAGAGAAGAGCCGGAGGCACAAUUAAAGCUUGUUAUGUUCCAAGUCUUGCAUAUACUCCAAUGGUUUUGGUGGCAGAGAAGACGGGAUUUGUCUGGAUGCCUGAAAUGGAAGGGGGAUCAGUGGCAUAUGUUAAACGGUGCUUCAUUUUGGAUGAUCUGAUUGACUUCUUUUCUUUGAAGCAUUCUGACAUGUACCUCCAAUCUUUUAUGAAUCACAGUUCAGAAAGCGAUCGUCUCGCUCUGAUAGAUUGCGAGAAUUUUUGUAAAAAGUUCAAACACCUUCGGGUAUUGAAUUUGGGUUCUGCAGUCCUGGACCAAUAUCCACCCGGAUUAGGAAAUUUAUAUCUUUUGAAGUAUUUGAAAUUGAAUAUCCCUUCGCUCAAAUGCCUUCCUUCACUGCUCUGCACCCUUUUAAACCUUCAAACACUAGAAAUGCCAUCUAGCUACAUAGAUCAGUCGCCAGAGGAUAUUUGGAUGAUGCAAAAACUCAUGCAUCUAAACUUUGGUUCUAUCACUCUGCUGUACGGCCAAGGCGGAUGUACGGUACAGCAGAAUAUGUAUAAUAAAUUGUAAAAUACAAAAAUAUUUUCAAAAAAUUAUUCUAGCUCUCUGAAAAAUCUCAUUUUCAUAUCAGCUUUAAACCCUAGUAGUUGUACUCCUGAUAUAUUGGGCAGACUACCUAGUGUUCAGACUCUUCGGAUAUCUGGAGAUUUGAGUUACUAUCAAUCUGGGGUUUCCAAAAGCCUUUGCGAACUCCACAAACUUGAAUGCUUGAAGCUGGUGAAUGAGAGCAAGCCCUCACGGAUGGUCCUGUCUGAAUACCAAUUUCCCCCAAGUCUGAUCCAACUGAGCUUAUCAAAUACUGAGCUAAUGGAGGAUCCCAUGCCAAUUCUGGAAAAUCUUCCACGCCUUCGAGUGCUGAAACUGAAGCAGAACUCGUAUUUAGGAAGAAAGCUUGCUUGUGUUGGCUUGAGUAGCUUUCCCGAACUUAAGGUUUUGCACCUGAAAUCAAUGUAUUGGCUAGAUGAGUGGACGAUGGGGGCUGGAGCAAUGCCGAAACUUGAAAGCUUAAUUGUCAACCCAUGUGCUUACUUGAGAAAGCUUCCAGAAGAGCUGUGGUGCAUAAAGAGCUUGCGCAAAUUGAAUUUACAUUGGCCUCAGACAGAGUUGAGACAAACACUACGGACUUUCGAGGAUAUGGAGUGGCGGUAUGACAUCCAGUUAUAUCCUUACGGAAUCUGAUGGAUUGAAUUGGGUGAGUUUUAAUCUUUUCUGAUAACUCAUAUUUUUAUAUGCAUUUUCUUUUUUUUCCCACUUUCUCAAUAGAUUUAUAUUUAUGGUAAAACCUUCAAGGAGGUCAUAAAAAUGCCAAACUAAUUGAGAUUGCUUCUGAUGUCAAAAUUAUGUCUCAGCAUAGACUCAGCUUGGGUGGCAAAACAGAGUGGGAUAGCCACACAUUGCAGCAGAGAAACAAAGAAAGAUCCCCCUUUUAUCAAUCUAAUAAGAACCGUAAAAGCAGAUUUUCAUUUAUUAUUCUUAUUUUCACUUACGUAGGCAAAAUUGGAGAGGGAAACAACGCCAGCCGGACUUUCAGUUUCAAUUUUAAUUCAGCAUUGAUUCAUGAGACAGGGCAUUGUUUUAUUUAGCAGAUUUCGAGGAUUUGCUAUAAACAUGCCAUGGUUGCAAUGUUGUCUACAAACUUGAACUUUUGCACUCCUUUUGCUAUUUUGAAUUUGCUGGUAUGUAUGUGUGUAUUCUGUUUUAAUAUAUAUAUAUAUAUUCUGUUUUAUGCUUAGAAGUAUUCCAUUUAAACCCCCGACUUGCAGGUAUGGUUUGCUAGUCAAAGAAAUAUCAAUUUUCUAGGAAAAAUUCCUCAUUUUAGUUGCUGAUUGCACGUUCAAUUUCGUUCUUAGAAUAUUCGUUCUCAUUAAAAUGAUGCACGCACUGAUGUUUUGAAUCAUAUCAGAGAAUCAUUUGUAUUUAUUGAGAGUCAAUUACAACUGAUGUAGCAGGAUUUUAGGUCAUAUGAGAACAAGCAUGUAGGAAAAAAUUCAUCUAGAAAAUUAGUGCAGCCGCACUUUCAAUCGAAUUGCUAUUAUGAACAACAAUUCAUGAGUAAAUCGUUGUUCAAACUACAGGUAGCUUAUACAAACUUAAAUGGCUUUUGAGUAGAAGCAAUGUCAACGCUAGGAAUUCAAUACAAAAGCAGUCAAGUUCAAGUAGUAAUAUGAUUUAAAAAACUCUCGAUAAGAUAACAAGUAUUAAAUUUUUAAAAUUUCAUUGAAAUAUUUUCAUACAAUCAAUUUAAUUGCGGCCGUCUUCCAAAUGUUUUCAUAUUUUAAAUUGUUGAAUCAUAAUCAACCUCUUUAUCAGCACCACAAAAAAUAUCAUUUCUAAUGCAAACAACUAGGUUAUUGCUUAUCAUUGUCUAAUAGAGCAUAUUAGCAGCUAUCAUAAAAAUAAAAAAAAAAAUUAUUGUCUGAUUUUAAGAUACUUUCAAGUUUGACCCCCUACCUCAAUUGUCAGAGAGGGGAAAAAAAGAGUAAAUAACAUGAAAAGAAAGUAUAUGAAGUCAAAAAAAAGGUUGGGAAUAAGUAAUAUACAAAUGUAAGGCUGCUUCGAUCACAUUUGAAGUUAAUGACAAGCAUAGCUCUUCAUAUUUAAGUAAAUAUAAAAUAGAAUAUUAGCUGUUGAAUAGAUUAUAAGCAUAGAUCUUGACUUUUGAAUUUAAUUACAGAAAUUUUGGUGGAUUGGUGAACAGAAGAAAUCCAUUCGUUCCACCAAUUACAUUGAGGAUUUUAAUGAAUCCCAAUCUCAGGUAACAUGUUAAUGCCAACAGUACUGGCAAGAUAUCAAAUGCGGGAGAUUCGAGACUAUUAGCUUUAAGAGAACCAAUAGAGACUGACAAGUUAGAAAUAACUUGCUAAGUUGAGAAGUACGACUGACAAAAUGAAUAUAGUGGGAAAAUCAAGAUAAGCUAAUAGUUUUCUGUUUCUGCAUCUCUCUUACCGUCUCUGUUAUAUUUGCUUUUAACAACUCAAAUAUUUAGGAUUUAUUUACCAAUUGUUAUUCUACGUCACAAAUACUCUGUUUUUUUUUUCUUUUUUCUUUAAUCGCUCUGUUUUAUACUUUUGACAUAUCUUUUAGGUCUUUAGUCUACCAAAUAAUCAUAAAUAAAGCAUAUAAAAUGUAUUUCUAAUUUCAGAAGGCAUCUAGGACUUUAUUCUCUGCUUUACUUCUAAAUUAAUUAGCCAAAGGAAGUUUGGCUUUCAGCAGAGCACUUUAAAAAGAAAAUGAGAAAUGAGUCAUCUUUAACUAUUAUGCUCAUCCUUAAUGUCUCCACGUUAACAAUUGUAAGGAAGUGAGGACUGUAAAUUUACUUUCUGUCUAUUUAUUCUUUUGAGAAUCGUUUGUAUUUAUUGAGAGUCAACAUACAUACACUUUGUAGUAUAGCCCAGAGAUCUGCGAUCCACUCCCACCAAUACUCGGAGAGAUAUCUAAUGCUAUCCAGAUUCAUAAAAAUGAGCCUCAUUAAAAGCCUAGUGGCGAUAUGAGUUUUUUUCCUCAAGAAAUGUUUCUGUAAAUUGCUUAAAUAUUGGUGGGGAUGCAUAAUUGUAACCCAGUUGAUUAAUUUCUAACACAACUGAUGUAGCAGGAUUUUGGGUCAUACGAGAACAAGCAUGUAGGAAAAACUUCAUCUAGAAAAUUAGUGCAGCCGCACUUUCAAUCAAAUUGCUAUUAUGAACAAGUAUUAAAUUUUUAAAAUUUCAUUGAAAUAUUUUCAUACAAUCAAUUUAAUUGCGGCCGUCUUCCAAAUGUUUUCAUAUUUUAAAUUGUUGAAUCAUAAUCAACCUCUUUAUCAGCACCACAAAAAAUAUCAUUUCUAAUGCAAACAACUAGGUUAUUGCUUAUCAUUGUCUAAUAGAGCAUAUUAGCAGCUAUCAUAAAAAUAAAAAAAAAAAUUAUUGUCUGAUUUUAAGAUACUUUCAAGUUUGACCCCCUACCUCAAUUGUCAGAGAGGGGAAAAAAAGAGUAAAUAACAUGAAAAGAAAGUAUAUGAAGUCAAAAAAAAGGUUGGGAAUAAGUAAUAUACAAAUGUAAGGCUGCUUCGAUCACAUUUGAAGUUAAUGACAAGCAUAGCUCUUCAUAUUUAAGUAAAUAUAAAAUAGAAUAUUAGCUGUUGAAUAGAUUAUAAGCAUAGAUCUUGACUUUUGAAUUUAAUUACAGAAAUUUUGGUGGAUUGGUGAACAGAAGAAAUCCAUUCGUUCCACCAAUUACAUUGAGGAUUUUAAUGAAUCCCAAUCUCAGGUAACAUGUUAAUGCCAACAGUACUGGCAAGAUAUCAAAUGCGGGAGAUUCGAGACUAUUAGCUUUAAGAGAACCAAUAGAGACUGACAAGUUAGAAAUAACUUGCUAAGUUGAGAAGUACGACUGACAAAAUGAAUAUAGUGGGAAAAUCAAGAUAAGCUAAUAGUUUUCUGUUUCUGCAUCUCUCUUACCGUCUCUGUUAUAUUUGCUUUUAACAACUCAAAUAUUUAGGAUUUAUUUACCAAUUGUUAUUCUACGUCACAAAUACUCUGUUUUUUUUUUCUUUUUUCUUUAAUCGCUCUGUUUUAUACUUUUGACAUAUCUUUUAGGUCUUUAGUCUACCAAAUAAUCAUAAAUAAAGCAUAUAAAAUGUAUUUCUAAUUUCAGAAGGCAUCUAGGACUUUAUUCUCUGCUUUACUUCUAAAUUAAUUAGCCAAAGGAAGUUUGGCUUUCAGCAGAGCACUUUAAAAAGAAAAUGAGAAAUGAGUCAUCUUUAACUAUUAUGCUCAUCCUUAAUGUCUCCACGUUAACAAUUGUAAGGAAGUGAGGACUGUAAAUUUACUUUCUGUCUAUUUAUUCUUUUGGCAUAUGUGCACGAAUAUAUAUGUCAGGAAAUUGAAUUGUAUGAUUUUCACGAUGACUCUUAAAUGCACGCAUCCAUAUCUUUCUAUUUUCAAAGAUGGUAAUGGAAAACUGUGUUACUCUCUCUUAACAUUACACUAAUUCUAAAAUACCUAAAAUGUAUAAAUAUAUCUAAUAUAGACUUACUAAGAAAUCAUGUGAGACAUUAAGGAUAUGUUUGGUACCUUUUUGGCAAACUGUUUUUCGUUUUACAAACAAAAAAUACAAAAUUGAAUAGUUCUUGGUUUUCCCUUUUUUUUCAUUAAGUUAGAGAACGUUAAAUUGACGUUUCUCUUAUCUUAUUUCUCAUCGGAUUCCCUCAAAAGUAAAAUUAAUUAUCGGAAAAAAAGACACUUAUACCUCUAGGAUUUAGACAAAUUGUCAUGCAGACCCUCAAAUUUUUAAAAAGAAAUGCCAAAAUUUUUUUUUUAACAGAUGGGGGCUGGAGCAAUGCCAAAACUUGAAAGCUUAAUUGUCAACCCAUGUCUGCUGUACGGCCAAGGCGGAUGUACGGUACAGCAUAAACAAAAUAUCUUCCUAUUAAUAAUAUUAAAAUUAUUUGUAUAAUAUUCAAAAUAAUUUAAACUUUAAUUGAUUUAUUGUAAUAUUAUGUUUCCAUUUAUUAUUAAAAUUACUUUAAUAUGAUAAAAUAUGUAUAACAGAUUGUAAAAUAUAAAAACAGUAUCUUGCUUGUCAACAAAUUUUUUUUUUUUACUCGAAAGCAAAAAUAAAAUUAUGCCAAUAUCAAUUCUUUGACAGAACAACCUUAGCUUUCUGAUGUUUAAUACUACUCUUUCUAAGCCCAAAAAUUCUAAAAUUUUUAAUUAAUUCUGUUACUGGGAUUGCGGCAGUAAUACCAUUGAAGGCAUUUUGAUAUUAAUUUUUUUUAAAGAAAAAUUCUUUAAAUUAAAAAAAGAAACAAUUGAAGAAAUCUGUUCUUCGAGAUUACCUAACAAACAAGAAGUACUUUAUUGUGCUUGAUGAUGUCUUCGAUGACAGUGAGUUAUGGGAUGAUCUGGAAGAACUUCUUCCUAAUAAUCAGAAUGGAAGCAGAGUAUUGAUAUUGGUUGCUGAUCUCGACCUCCUUGCGUCAUUGGAAAUGGAAAACGGAGAGAAGAUUCGGCUAAAUUCAGUGCUCGUUGGAGGACCAUUGAUCAGAUUAAAGCAUGAAGCCUGGCAAUUUUUCAUCCUACACUACGGAAGUGCGCCAUUAGAAAAUUUAUGGAUGAAAAAGUGGUUUUGACAUUUUGAGUCGAACUUGUUCUGUGUGGGAGUUAUCUUUUCACUUGAAAGCCUGCGGCAUCUAUCUGUGUGUCUUCCCUCCAAGCAUUAAGAUAUCUACCAGGCAGUUACGUCAGUUGUGGAUAGCUGAAGGUUUCAUACAAUACAACAGUGAAGAAACUGCCGAACACUACUUGAAAGAACUAAUCCAUCGCGGCUUCUUUCAAGUGAGUAAGAGAAGAGCCGGAGGCACAAUUAAAGCGUGUUAUGUUCCAAGUCUUGUAUAUUAUUCAUUGUUGUUGGUGGCAGAGAAGACGAGAUUUGUCUUGAUGCCUGACAAGGAAGAGGAAUCUUUGGCAAAUGUUAAACGGUGCUUCAUUUUGGAAGAUCUGAUUGAGUUCAUUUUUUUAGAACAGUCUGGCAUGUAUCUCCAGUCUUUUCUAAAUCACAGUUCAGAAAGCGAUCAUCUCGCUCUGAUAGAUUGCGAGAAUUUUUGUGAAAAGUUCAAAUACCUUCGGUUACUGAACUUGGGUUAUGCAGUUCUCGACCAAUUUCCACUCGGAUUAGAAAAUUUAAUCCUUUUGAAGCAUUUGAAAUUGAAUAUCCCUUCGCUCAAAUGCCUUCCUUCGCUGCUGUGCACUAUUUUAAACCUUCAAACACUAGAAAUGCCAUCUAGCUACGUAGAUCACUCGCUGGAGGAUAUUUGGAUGAUGCAAAAACUCAUGCAUCUAAACUUUGGUUCCAUCACUCUUCCCGCACCUCCAAAAAAUUAUUCUAGCUCUCUGAAAAAUCUCAUUUUCAUAUCAGCUUUAAACCCUAGUAGUUUUACUCCUGAUAUAUUGCGCAGACUACCUAAUGUUCAAACACUUCGGAUAUCUGGAGAUUUGAGUUGCUAUCACUCUGGGGUUUCCAAUAGCCUAUUGGGACUCCACAAACUUGAAUGCUUGAAGCUGGUGAAUGAGAGCAAGCUCUCACGGGUUGUCCUGUCUAAAUACCAGUUUCCUUUAAGUCUAAGCCAUCUGAGCUUAUCAAAUACUGAGCUAAUGCAGGAUCCCAUGCCAAUUAAUAUAUCAAGACUAGUUUGAAAAUCUACUUCUACUAAUAAUAAUAUUUAAGGAGAAAUUAGCUGUCACGUGGCUGCUGUGGAGUCCUAUUCAUCAGGGUAGUUGUUGUUAUAGUCAAAAUAAAUAUUUAGUUUUUAUUUACUUGUAGAAGUGGUCCACUACGUCAGCACUUGUUGCUAUCAUUUAGCUGUGUCUUUGUUAUUUUCUGUUCAAGUCUUUAUAUAAAUUCAUAGUCCAAAGAUUAAAAAAAAAAAAAAAAAAUUCAUAGUCCAAAGAUAAAAAAAAAAAAAAAAAAAGCAACAGAUUAAUUUUCUUCAAAGUUCAUCUAGUAUUGAAGGCCGUGGUCUUCCUCAAAAUAGACCAAGUUCAGUUGUUCGUUCUUUAUUUAGUUGACUACUACAAUAGGGAAACAAAAGAAAAUGAUCCUGAAAGGGCUUGAUUUGUUAUACAUACCAAUUACAAGGUCAGUUAUGUAGGCAUGUAACAAAAUAGUAUCAGAGCAAGGCAUGUAGGAAUCAUGAUUGAAAAGCUUAGAAACCGAAGUAAGCUCCUUGCAGCUUAAUUUAUAGUCAAAUUCAAAUCUUGAACAAUGGUCAUGAACGAAAGAAUAUCAUGAAAUGUGAUAAUCCAAACGAAGGUGCGAAUGGAUAUUGGUAUUAUGGGCUCUGCUUAGACUAUUUACACAUUUAAACAAUAAUCAUCACUAUUUUCGACCACUAUAUCUUCCGAAAAUAAUUUUUGCCAAAAGUCACCAUAUUUGUGAAUUAAAUCUAUUUUAAAAAUAGAUUUAAUCACCAUCAAUUUUGUCACGGUAAGAUAAAGUAGGGAUAGCUAAUAUAUAUAUUCUUUCUAAAAGUCAUGACUUUUCUCUAAACAUUAAUCAUAUUUUUUUUGAGAAAAGUGAGUAAUAAUAAUAUCGUCAGGAGUUUAGAUAAUGCUAUAUGAUCAACUGAUUUAAAAAAAAUACAAUUGAUAUAGCAGCGUCCUAGGUCAUAUGAGGACAAACAUGUAGGAAAGUUCAUCUAGAAAAUUAGUGCAUCCGCAGUUUCAAUCAAAUUGCUAUAUUGAGCAACAAUUAAUGAAUAAAUUUGUUAUUCAACCUAUAUGUAACUAACACAAAUUUUAAUGACCUUCACAUAGCAGCAGUGGAAGUACCCAAUUUUUGAGACUUCACUGAAAUAUUUUCAUUCAAUCAAUUUACAACCAUCUUCCAUAUGCUUUCAUAUUUUAAAAUGUUAAAUGUUAAUCUCACUAUCAACACCACAAAAAAUAUAUCAUUUUUAAUGAAGACAAUUAGGUUAUCAUUUCUAAUAGAGCAUCUUGAGCAGUUAGCUUAAAAAAAUUAAGCAAACUAUUGUAUGAUUUUUAAGAUAUUUUAAGUAAUUUUAUCAACUAUAAAAUCAUCACCUAGUUCAUUAUAAGUGACACAACAUUGGUCAAUGACACAUAACAUUGGAAUUUAAGUUGGUACUCAAUUGUUGGGAUCUCUAAUAUUAUUGGACAUGAUUUAAUGAUCAAAUUCAAAUUUUGCACCGGUGGCCAUGAAUGAAAGAAUAUCAUGAAAGGUGUUAAGAUGCACAUGGAUAUUGGUAUUAGGGAUUAUGUUUAGGAUAUCAAUUAUUCAUACAGAUUUACUCUACAAAAAAUCAUUCCAAAUUUCAUAAUUAUUUUCCCUCUUACUUAUUUCCGAAGUUAUUUUCUUCCUCUUCCUAACGUUUCUCUAAUUCUGAAUCCCUUAACGAUGAGGGGAAAAAGAUUAAGAAAGUCAAACUGAUUAAAGCUAAAUAAAUAAAUAUUAGAAUCCAAAUUUUCCGUGCCCAAAUUCCGUUGAAUAUGAAAUAUAUAAAAUUAGCAAAUUGACUACAUCAAAAAAUUAAAAAAAUCAAAAUUCAUCAUGUAAAAAUCUUAUUUAACUCCUAAUUUCAUUACAAAAUCGUUCACAAGUUAAUUGAUAUCAGUAUUAGGUGAUCAAAGCUCAAGCAUUUUUAAUAAGCAAAGCUCAAAAGAAUUUCAUAAGAAAUCACUUACCAAUGAAAAUCAAUGCAGAGAAACAAUUGAGCUAUUUUCCUAGAGGGUAUAACGAUGAUGACAAUGAGUAGAAUCACUUAAUUAACGUAUUGAAAUAGCAACUUAGUUCAGAUCUACAAUGCCACUUGCUAUAUGAAAACGUAUAUAAUCAUAAUUAAUUAGCGAAAUGUCAAGUUCUAUUUUGACUGUCUUGCUUGGGUCAGGGUUUCUGUAUUCUACCAUUUUGGCAAGAUAUUGGAUGGCAUAAUCAAGUCUGUGAUGCCUCCAUCUCAGGUUAGUGUAAUUAUCGGUGAAGAUUAUAAUACAUAUUCAAUUAUAACAAACGAUUAUUAAAUUACUCCCAUCGAAAGGAUUAGGUUUGUCAUUAUUGACAAUUAAAUUAACAAGAUUCUCAUUUUCUCUCACCGCAUGCAUUGCAAGUUGAAAAGAACAUUGACUUGAGAAAAUACUCUGAUGAUUAAAUUACUCCCAAUAAUCAGAAUGGAAGCAGAGUAUUGAUAUUGGUCACUGAUCCACACCUCCUUACGCUGUCGGAAAUGGAAAACGGAGAGAAGAUUCGGCUUGAUUCAGUGAAAGAUGUUAAGAAAAGAACAAAUGUUCAUCAAUUUAGACAAUAUAAUCAAACAACUAAAAUUUUUUUAGUGAAAUUUCUAUUUAUAAUACCUCUACUAACAAAAUAUCUACUUAAAUAAGUUCUACUAAGCUAUAUUAUUAUGAACCGUAUCGAUUAAAGCAAAUACCAUUGACUUGAGAAAGCACUUUUUGUGUUUCUUUAUAAGUGUGAACAUGUACCAAACAAACUCUUUAUAAAACCAAAAAAGUCUCUUGUUCUGUGUUGGAGUUACCUUUUCACUUGAAAGUCUGCUGCAUUUAUUUGUGUGUUUUCCCUCCAAGUAUUGAGAUAUCUACUAGGCAAUUAUAUCAGUUGUGGGAAGCUGAAGGCUUCAUACCAUACAACAGUGAGGAAACUGCCGAACAUCACUUAAAAGAACUAAUCCAUCGCGGCUUCAUUCAAGUGAGUAAGAGAAGCGCCGGAGGCACGAUUAAAGCGUGUUAUGUUCCAAGU
rnacentral:lncRNA from 1 species